AGUACUACCUACGUGAUCCCACACUCCUAAUCAUAUAAGCUAAAAUGCUAUACAUUCAAUCUUUGGAAGAUAUAAACAAAACAUAAAUAUAGAUAGAUUAUCUUUCCAUUAGGUUGAGCCAUGUGAUCUGACAAAUGCUACACUCAUGAUCCAUCAACUUUGUCUUGCUCACUAUGCUUAAGGUUAGAGAAGAACAAAUACACUUUUGGUUCUGUUGGUGUUUUCCACCAACAGGGCCCUAUGAGCAGGAACACUUCGAGCAUAAUAUGAAGGAGUUUUACAACUCCCAGACUCUACCAAGUGAAGGACUUGGAUCUAUGAGCACAAACACACUGAGUAGGAUAUUGCCAACACCGCACUUCGAACUGCUGGACAAACAAAGAACAUAGGUGACACCGUAUCAAGAGGUGCAGAUGUCAAGGUCCACACCUAAUCAAAUGAUGCACCUAAAGGAUGAAGACGGUGAUAAGUCCUGUCCAGAAGACAUAAAACAUUGGAUCCUUGUCGGAGGAGGUCAAGAUCGUCGACUCAAGUCGCCUUUCUUGAUCAAGAAGGACAACCCUGGUGUUCCAAGCAUCGAGUGCACAAUCAACAGAUACUCUUUUUAGAAGAUACUCUACGAUACCGGAUCUGACGACAACAUAAUGGCCGCAGUCACUUAUCAGCUCCGGCAUGGAACCAUGCUCCUACAACCAAGAUACAUUCAGCUCCAGACGAUUUUCUGGUCAUUGACAUGGGAAAAGACGAGUAUGAUCCACCCACCAUCCUUGAAAGACCAUUCCUCAACACUAUCAAAGUUAUCAUCUACAUUGGAACCGGAGAAGUCCACAUGCACUUUCCCUCUGAGAAGGUACGCUGCUAUUUUACUGACCCUAACUAUUUAGUUGAAGACUCUAAGCAGGUCAGGACAAGAAGACGACAACGCAACCGCAACCAGAGGAGGCAAAUCAUCAAGGACGGAUGGGUAGACUACGAAGCAGAAGUGAUAAGGUCUGAAGACAUAGAGCUUGAACAAAACUGUCCUGAGGAGACUGUAGCACCGAGACAGGUGUGGAGAGAGAAGAUAGUUAUACACGAAGAAGAGGCGCCGCCGGAAUCACCGACUACGCCACCUAGCGAAUCCCAAGACGACUGAGAAAACGGAGAGUCCCGUUCGGAGGACUUAAAAAUACCGAACGCCUUGCCAAGAGGUAAACUUGGUAGUUAUCCUUUUCCUUUCAAUAAUUUGCUUAGUUAAUCAGGUUCAUGCUAUCUUGAAAAGAAAAUAAAAAUGUUAAAAAACAAAACAUAGUAAACCCCAUGUGAGUAUGCUCAUGGCAUAAAACCCAUAAGUACAUUCACUGUGGUGGCAUAAAAAUAAAAUAAAUAAGUUUUCAUCUUACAAUAAAAAUAUAAAAAUAAUAAGUGCAUGAUCCUGCUAAAUAAGUAACAUUUAUUGAGGAGGCUCAACAUGAUAAAGGCUAGAUAUUUAUGCUAACACUUAACCAGUUCCACAAAGCUUUGCUGUCUAUCUGAGCUCUACAGAAUUUAAGAAUCAAGAAGACUAGCAGACGGAGGACAUCCCAAUCGCUAUCAAGGUGCUGCCAACUUUCAAAUACACCUCCACCACCAGCUAGCUACAUCAGAAGAAAUUACGUCAAAAUCCAGCUUUGGGGAGAGCACCCCCAUUUAUCCAGCUAAGUGUUUCUACUCGCGUUUAUACUUUACUCAAAUAAUAAAAGAUGCAUAAUCAUGAAGACCCAAAUAAAGAUUUUGUACUUAUAUAUAUAUAUAUAUAUAUAUAUAUCUUUGUUUAGUUUGCUGAAUAAAUAAAUAAAUAAAGUUUGCUAUGAACCCUCAUGAUAAGCUCUCACAUGGAAAUGAUGAAUAGUUGCUCUGCCAUGAUUAGUUCUUAAAAUUAAAAUCUCUCUCAAGUUUAGGCAUGACUGUUAUGAAGUAAGAUUUGCUCUAAACCUGAACUUGUGGGAAGAGUACUUGAUCUAAAAUCUAAGUUGUUAACGGAUAUGAUAUGGGAAGGUUGAGCUGCUGUUUAUAUGUUCCUAGAGAUGCUAGAAUUCUGGAGAAUUUUAUCUUUGAAAAAAAAUUUAAUAUCACAUGAUGAGUUCCUGUAUGAUGAGAGUUUAAAAUCCUACCACAACCAUAUAUACAUGCUUAUUAGACUUUGAGCCACACAUUUACUUUUUGCUGCUUAUGAGCAUUGAGUGUGGUCAAGUUGUGUAGACCCUUAGGAGCUUGUCAUGUGGUUAAAAUCAAGAUUCACUUGCACGUUCACUCAUACAUGCUACUUCUACUCUAGAGGUACCAUCCACAUAUAUCCACUCAUUUCCAUCUCCAGAUUCACCCAAAAACAUUCUACUCCUAAUCCAGGAAAGAAUGGCCAAAAAUAUUUUUGUUUUUCCCUGUAGAAUAAAUGCUCGAGUUAUUUUGGAUACUACCACUUGCUACAUUAUUUCAGGAGAUGAGUGCUCUAGUAAAAAAAAGAAAAAAAAAGAGAAAAAUACGAGGAAAUAAAAAGGGGCAUGUGCCCGGAACCUCGAAAGAAAAUAAAAAGUGAGACGAGAGGUAAAAAUGGACAAGUGUCCGACACUAGAAUUAGGGGUACAAGUUACCCACCUGAGAGGAAAGAAAAAGAAAAUAUAGAGCAUCUCAUUCUCCCCAAAAAGCUUCAAGUGCAAGAAAGGUAUGUAUCCCCUCAAAAGAGCAAAAGUAGAAUUAGACUUUCACCAUUAUUAUCACCAUCAUCACCAUACACCAUUCAUUCGCCACACAUGCACAUCUUGAUUUGACUUAUUGACUUGUUUCUCUAGAUCCAUGGUUUGACUAUGCAAUAAAUGUCUUGUAAGUAUGUAUUAGCUGUCUCCCACCUAUGAGCUCCAGAUAUCAAAACCUUAUUAGAGUAGGGUGAGAGAGAAGGUAAUAUCACUAUGCAUUAUACCAAAAAUACCACAUACUUUGAGAGAAGGCAUAUACCAUUACUGCCCUGGUAAGGAUCCAGAAAUACCACAAAAGAGAGAUUUGAGAGAGUCAUAUAAGGAAUCUCUGAGUUUUAUUUGAAAAUCUGCAAAAACUCCAGAGCUAUAGCUGAUCAAGAAUAAGAGACAUGGCGCUUGACUUGACCGUUCUAUCUUUUAACUACUCAAGACACAAGUGACGGUUACAAGCCCCAUGGUGAAAGGCAUGAAACCACUGUAGAAACUCUUGAGUUCAUCCUUGCUCAGGGACGAGCAAGAGGUAAGCUUGGGGGAGUUUGUUGACGGUCCUUAAGUACCAAAUAUAAUCAUCAAAUAAAUAAAGAAAAGGAUCCAAAUGCAACCAACACCCAGACUUAGGGUUUUAUCUGACAGAAUUCCACGAGUUUUGGUGUUUGUCUAUUUCUGCAGGGGGUUAUCAGGAAAUACGAAAGAAAGGCCCACAUGUUAGGAUUACAUAGAGAUAUCAACGCACCAUGCAAUUUUCUACCAUCUAGAAGACUCCAGAAGCCGCGGAAAGAAAGCAGAGGCCGAAAGGGGCCAGGCCCAGGGCGCCCGCCCUCUUUCCCUGGGCGCCCGCCCUGUCCUGGACUCCGUUCGGAACUCUCUUCGGACACGACGUUCCACCGACCUAAUAGAUCAAAGAUAAUGUAGUACCACCUCGCCUACCGACUCAAAAACGCAUAGAGGAGGAGGACUAUAUAAGGAGACCCCCCUGGCCCAUCGAGAAGACAAGAAAUUAUCAUAGAGAUUGAGGGGUGCCCUCGAAGGAAAACCUCUUCUCUAAAUAAUAUUUCUUUCUAGGCUUAGCAACCAAUGUAAGGUAGAAAUAGAUCUUCUAGUUUCUACUAGAUUGAGAGAGAUAGAGUGGAGGUGUGGAUCGGAGGAAGGCCGGCCUAUCUGUGUCUACUCCGAGUUGUACCUACGGGAUCAAGUCUCCUAACCCGAGGCUUGCUUCUAAGAUUCUUCAGUAAUUCGACUUCUAAUUCUAGUAAGUUCUUGUUUUAUUGUUCUUUGGUUUAUAAGUUUACUUUAAUCCUCUUCCGGUUGAGUAUUAGAGUAAUCACUUGCUAGCGUAAACGUGGUGUUUAGGCAAGGGUACUCAUAGAUAUCCCCUGACUAGCUGGACCGUGGUAGUAGCAAGGAACGUGACAUUUCUGAGUUACCUUUGUAUCCCAUAUCUUGUUAGCAGGACGGGUAGGGUUUAUAGGUGCGGGUCGAACAUCCUUUGUGUUGUCUAGAUUCCGUGAGCCUCCCCAAUAGAACAGUAGAUCAUCCUUACCAAGGUUAGAACGAGACUACGGUUGCAGUCUUCUCUAUAUAUCACUCACAUCGAGAAACAUUCUUUGUAGCCUAAAGGGGUAGUAGCAAUAGAUUUGGUUAGUCAGAUGCUCCCUUUCUCCCAGUGGUAAAAAUAUAAAUACGAUACUCUGGAAAACCUCCCGGGUGAAAUGCUCACCGAUAUCCAUGCGCUUGCGGAUCAUUUCCUGAUUGCGUUACCAAAUAUCAACACACGCGCGCGCACCCUCGAGUAGUAGCAGAGUCGUUCUCCUUCCUCCUCAGGAUGCCAGUGAGACUCAUCGCCGCUGACGACUGGCGCCCGUCGUCGAUGACGGAGCGCCGGCUGUUGGAGCUCGAGAGGGAGGGGCUCUUGCGCCCCCGUGUUUCCUCGUCGCGGCCGGAGUGGAUUGCGCCGUCGGCGGAUCACCGGGAACCAAGACCGCCCAAGGGCUACGUGGUCUCUUUCGCCAAGUUCCAUUGCCACGGCCUGGGCUCCCCUCCAAGCCAUUUUAUGCGGGCGCUCUGCCACCAUUACGGUGUGGAGCUCCAGCAUUUUUCGCCGAACGCCAUCACCGCCAUGGCAGUUUUCGCAGCGGUGUCCGAGGGCAACCUGGGGAUGAUGCCGCACUGGGAUCUGUGGCUCCACCUGUACCGAGGCGAGCUCUUCAUUUCCCCCAAUGGAACCACAGGGGUGAGGAAGCUGGUGCGUGUGGGCUGCCUCAAUCUGGUGUUGAAGACUGGCAAGGCGGAGGAGCCUCUGGAGUACAUCCCGGUGGGAAUGAUGUCGAACCACGCCGGUUGGGACUCCCUGUGGUUUUAUCUUCGAAACGAAGACGGCCUCCUUCCCACCUACACCAGAUGCUUGAUCUCGGAGCGUCUGGACCACUGGAAGUACGGCGUCGUCCAGGCCCACCAGUCACGGCUGGGCCCCAUCGUCGACGCCCUGAAGAAACUGUGCGAGGGAGGCCUGACAGCCACACUCGUCCUCUCAGCUGUCCAUCAUCGACGGGUUCUCCCGUUGAUGUCUCGACCGUGGAGGAUGGACGAGAUGGGUCCCGGCGUUUUGUCCCGGGAUCUCGAGGCAUGCCGGAUGUCCAACGAGGCUCUUGCGGACGACGAGGUUGCAGCCAGAGUCAGGGCGGCCGUCGCAGGCGACUUUCAGCCCGAGCAUGUCAACGGCUUCCCUAUGAGGCCUGAUCAGGGGUCGAUUGACCUGGUGAGGCCUUUUCCCCGCUUAUUUGAUUUUUAUGUCUCUUUCCGGGACUUAUUUUCGUUUUUCACAGGGCUCGAUCGACGCCCGGUCCUCGAAACCUCCAGUAAAAGAGGACGACGCCGAUCGUGAUAAGAGGCGCGAGUCCGUGGAGAAACAGAAGUCCGCAAAGGACUUAGAGAAGAAAAAGGAUAAGAAGAAGAACCUCGAGCGACAAGCGCUCGAGAAAUGCCGCGCGAAGUCGAGGCAGAGGGGAGAAUCUGUGGAGGAAUCUCCUGAUGAGGACGAUGGCAACGACAGGGACGACGAUAGCGACGACUCUGAGGGGAUGGCGGCUCGCCUCGACAAAAUCCUCGAGGGCCCGCCACAGGCCGACGUCGACGUGCCAUGGACGGGAGCCCCUGAGAGGAUGUCAAGCGAGUCCCGUGAUGGUCAACAGAGGGAACCCUCUCGACACCGCUCUCGCGCCAACACUCCCCCUAUGCCUGUGCAGGGACGGGCCGUCUCCCGCCCGCAACCUCCUCCCGCGUCUGGGGCGGGCCAUCGAGUUAAGACCAUGGCGACGGGGCCAUUGACUCGUGGUCGUGCCGUCGUGACAGCCUGGAGCUAGGGGGAGAUAGGUCGCGGGAGUUCUAGCUCUGGCGCCCGCUAGACGGGAGACGUCGUGCCUAAGCCUGCGCCCGCCCACGAGAGGCCUGGGGUUUCGACGCGGGGAAGCUCGAAGCCAGCUGGUCGGGGUACUGGCAGGCGGGUCGCUCUUCCUGUGGGGUAAGAUCUUAAUGUCGUGAUUCUAGUCUUCUGAUGUCUUUGUGUUUUCUCGUUUUAUGGCUUCUCUUACGUUAUUCCCAUUUUCUCAGGUUCAAGCGGCCGCUCGAACAGGCCCAACCUUCGAUGGCCAAGAAGCUCAAGGUGGGGGCGGCUCCCAAAGACUCAGGUGAGUGGUUGAUUCUCCUUUCAGCGGUGUUGGAGUUGUGCGAUCCUUUCAUCAAGCUCCUUAGCGACGGACGUGUUGUUUUUAAAUGCACAUAGGUUCGUCCGAUCCUCGACCAUCGGCGGGCAUCGAGGGCACCCCGCCCCGUCCAUCGGUGGGAGAGACUGCCCCACCGACACCUAGGUGGGUCGAGGUGUCUCGCGCUCAAGAGCAGGAGGGAGCCCCCGAGCUUCCCCAGUCUGGGGGCAUGGAGGAUCCCAUUACCGUUAGCGACGGGUCUGGUGGUGACCGACCCCCGAUGGAUGUCUGCACCGCAGGCGAGGAGGUCGAGGCUCCCCCUGUCAUGGAGCAGACGCCUUGGCCCAUCGGGCUCCACUUCGUCGAGGAGAGGAGGAAGAAAGAAGAGGAAGAGCGCGAGCGGGGGUCGCAUCAACAGCUGCAGGAGGUGCUGCAACAGCUGCAGCAGGGAGAAUCACUCGAGGAUGAGUUGGAGCAAUGUCGGCAGCAGGAGCUGCUAGAACUCCAACGACAGCAACAGCAGCGGAGCCAACAGUUGGAAGAGCAGCUCGAACUGCCACCGCAUGGCCCGCCCUAGUCUGGAUCGUCACCGCCGCAAGGGCCCGAGGACGAAGAGGAGUUGCCAGUUUACGGCCCUCCAACCCCUGCGUGGCUCCGCCCAGGGGCACCUGCCUCCAUCCCGGCCGAGCCAGGGCGAGCGGACGGUGUGGUGGCGCUUGCCUGUGCCAUGCGCACCCCCGUGGACUCCCAGUCAGAGAUCAAGGGCAUGAUUUUUGGCAUCGAGGGGAUCGCCCCCGGUUCCUACGAGACCGGCGGCCAUGGGUGGACCUCAGUACCGUUGGGGAGGACGAGGCUGGGACGUCGGGCGGUGGUGAUACCGGAUGUUGAAUAAAGUACCAAAUAUAAUCAUCAAAUAAAUAAAGAAAAGGAUCCAAAUGCAUCCAACACCCAGACUUAGGGUUUUAUCUGAUAGAAUUCCACGAGUUUUGGUGUUUGUCUAUUUCUGCAGGGGGUUAUCAGGAAAUAUGGAAGAAAGGCCCACACGUCGGGUUUACAUAGAGAUAUUAACGUGCCGCGUAAUUUUCUGUCAUCUAGUAGACUCUAGAAGCCAUGGGAACGAACAGGAAGGCGAACGGGCCAAGAGGCAGGGCGCCCGCCCUCCUUCCUUGGGCGCCCGCCCUGACCUGGAUUCGAUUCAGAACUCUCUUCGCGGACCAAGCUCCACCGACCUAAAGGAUCAAGGAUAACCGUCCAAUCAAUGUCUGUUUGAUCCAACGGCUUACGUUCACUUGAGGGGACUAUAAAACCAGACCCCAUGGCCCCUGGAGGAGACAAGUUCAUCAUAGAGUUGAGAGGAGACCUCAAAGGAAUACCUCUCCUCUAAAUAAAAUUUCUUUUAGGCUUAGCAUCCAAUGUGAGUAGAAUUAGAUCUUCUAGUUUCUACUAGAUUGAGAGAUAUAGAGUGGAGGUGUAGAUCGGAGGAAGCCCGGCCUGUCGGUGUCUACUCCGAGGAUGUACCUGCGGGAUCAAGUCUUCUCACCCGAGGCUUGCUCCUAGGAUUCUUCAGUAAUUCGACUUCUAAUUCUAGUAAGUUCUUGUUUUAUUGUUCUUUGGUUUAUGAGUUUACUUUAAUCUCUUCCGGUUGAGUAUUAGAGUAAUCACAUGUUAGCGUAAACAUGGUGUUUGAGCUAGGGUACUCAUAGAUAUCCCCUGACUAGUUGGACCGUGGUAGUAGCGAGGAACGUGGCAUUUCUGAGUUACCUUUGCAGCCCACAUCUUGUUAGCAGGACGGGUAGGGUUUAUAGGUGCAGGUCGAACAUCCUUUGUGGUGUCUAGAUUCCGUAAGCUUCCCCAAUAGAAUAGUAGAUCAUCCUUACCAAGGUUAGAACGAGACUACGGUUGCAGUCUUCUCUAUACAUCACUCACAUCGAGAAACAUUCUUUGUAGCCUAAAGGGGUAGUAGCAAUAGAUUUGGUUAGUCAGAUGCACGCUUUCUCCCAGUGGUAAAAAUAUAAAUACGAUACUCUAGAUAACCUCCCGGGUGAAAUGCUCACCGAUAUCCAUGCGCUUGCGGAUCAUUUCCUGAUGGCCUUACCAAAUAUCAACACCGGCGAGACCGGAACUUGGAGGACAGUAGAUGACGAUGGGCGAUUCCCCUCCCUCGUUGACCUAUUUUUACAUUAUGGGGGGUCGCUCGAGACUGUCCAAGAGCUCAUCCGGGGCGUCAAGGCGCAUACGGAGGAGGCGAUGGAGAACUGGGGCCCCGGUCGGAUCCGCAUUCGAGCUUCCACCGAUCCAUCAGAGCCUAAUAUCUUUAUGGAUGAUCGGAAGGAGGCCGAAAAGUGGGAACAUCUCGAGGAGCUUUGCCUCUGGUUGAAGCACGUGGUGGGGCUCCUAUCCGACAUCGUCAACAACGGACUUGGCCAAGCCUAUUUUGUAAGUAUCUCUGGGCCCUAGCUGUUUGGGAAUUUGGUCUUGUAUUCUUACUAUUUACCUACCGGUUCGUAGGAUCUGAAAGAGACCUCCUACUUGAAGUCGAGUUUUAUCCACGCGACGAGGGGCAGCUGGGAGCAGCUCCCUCUUCUCAAGGACCAACUCCUGGAGUCGCAGGAGAAGCUCCUCAAGGCUUACAAAGAGCUUCUAGCGCUCGAGGAGGAAAAGAAGAAGAGGGAGGCCGCCCUGGCCGAGGCUUGGGAAGCCUCGAGGAAGGCGGUAGAAGAGGCCAUGCAGCUGAGGGAGCGGACCAUGACGGUUGAGGAGGCCACGUCCAAGGCCCGAGAAGAGGCCGUAUUUUAUAAGAGCACAGCCGCCGAUCUUGACAAGGAGAAGGGCCUCAUCAAGGCUGAACUUGCCUCUGUCCGAGAGGCCUACCGAGAGAUGAAGGUGGAGUGCGUGAAGGGUGAGAUUGCUCGGAGCGCCGCAGAGGAGGCCAAGAAGAAAGCCCUCGAGGCGGAGCGGGCUCGAUCUCGCAGCCUCUCUGACGACGUCAGUCGUCUCAAGAGAGCGUUGUUGGAGAAAGAGGGAGCUAUCGCGUAGGCGGGCAAGGCAAUCGAGGACCUGCGGGUCGCCAACACUGACCUGGCCCGCUCUCACAGGGAGAUCGAGAGGGCCAACACUGAUUUGGUUGGCGAGAAUACAACUCUAGGGGAGAGGAUUCGCGGUGAGUUCCUUUUCACUUUCAUGCUUCUUUUCGCAAGGUAUUUCUUGGUGUUGUAUAAUUUCCCCAUAUCGGUCUUUGCAGGGCUUAAGGACGAGCUUCUGGCUACCCAGGUCGAGGCCCGCUCCGCCAAGGCUCAGCUCGAGGGGGAGGUUGCUUCAAAUGGCCGACUAAGGACCGCGAUAAACGACCUCUCGGCUUCCUGGGAGCUCGAGCCUGCGGACGAGUCAAGGGAAGAGGCUCGAGGCGACACGCUGGUAGAUGAGCUGUGCUACCUAGGUGCCACGCUGAGGGACCGAGUGCGGGACGCCCUUCAUACUGGGGUGAAGCGAGCGAUGGCGGUCGUCUGCUCGGGCUUUUCCUAUGAUAUGGAGGUGGUGUCCCACAGCUUCGUUACCGACAUUUCUAAGACCGACGUCGAGAACGAGGAGAGGCUCCACGCCUUGAUCGACGACGCAGAGGCCCCUGGGGAAAGAUUGGCGAAGCUGUUCGAGCCAGAGGUGCUUCCUCCCGAGACUAGCCCGGGCACGGACGAUAGUGGUGAGGGCCGAGACGCAGACUGAGGCCUGCAAGUCUAUUCUAGGUGUUAAGACCCAUUGUAAAGUACUUGUCUUGAGUAAACACUGUGUCUUUAAAUAGUUUAUAAUGAUUUGUGAAUAUUUGCUUAUUUUUAUGCUCGAGAUUCUUUUGUUUCCUUUUCUGCCUGCAUCUGUAUUCCUUGUUCGGUUUUUUGCUAAGGCGACCUCGAUUACCUUGAGGGUGAGGGAGUGAGUAGAGUUACCAUAGCCCGGGGGCGUAGGGAUUCUCAAGCUCGUCGUCUCUCGGCCCUUAAGGGGCUCGAGGUGCCUCUACUACUCGACCGCGCAAGGUUUACUUAUAGGAAAUGAAAAAUCGUUCGGGUUUUAGGAACUUGGGGGGGUCCCCCCUGCUAGCCCCCGAGGGGGUAUCGACUAUGAUGGGUCAUAGUUGGUACUCCCUUCUAACGUCGAGAUUUUUACCGGCGAAAAAGUAAACUACUCGAGGAAAGGAUCUCAUUUAUUCAUGCAUUCAUUCAUAGGAUCUUGGUACAUGAUGUACAUGGGAACAUAAAACUUUGAAGCUCUAAGGGUAGAAUCGACGUAGCUGUUCGAUGUUCCACGCGUUGGUGAAGACCUCCCUUUUUUCGUCCGCGAGCUUGUACGUCCCUGGUUUCAGGACCUCAGCCACCACGUAUGUGCCUUCCCAUGGUGGAGUUAGCUUAUGGCGUCCUUGGUUGCUUUGCCGUCGCCGUAGGACGAGAUCGCCCAUGUUCAGGUCCCUUUUGUGCACGUGCUUGUCGUGGUAGCGUCGAAGCUUCUGCUGGUACCUAGCGGAGUUGAGGAGGGCCAUGUCUCGAGCUUCCUCGAGCUGGUCGACCGCGUUCUCUUGAGUCUCUUUAUUCGUCUGCUCGUUAUAGGCCUUGAGUCGAGGUGACCCAUACUCAAGAUCUAUUGGAAGCAUGGCCUCGGAACCGUAGAUCAUGAAGAAUGGGGUAUAUUUCGUGGCCCUGCUAGGCGUCGUCCUUAAACUCCAUAGGACCGAAGAGAGCUCUUCGACGCAUUUCUUGCCGAAUUUCUUCAACCGGUUGUAGAUUCUAGGCUUGAGCCCCUGCAAUAUCAUGCCGUUGGCACGCUUGACCUAGCCGUUAGUUCGGGGGUGAGCUAAUGCAGACCAGUUCACACGGAUGUGAUGCCGGUCACAGAAGUCCAAGAACUUUUUACCGGUGAACUGGGUGCCGUUGUCGGUGAUGAUGACGUUGGGUAUCCCAAACCGGUGGAUGAUGUCGGUGAAGAAAAAGACGGCCUGCUCAGAGCGGAUGUUCGUGAAGGGCCGAGCUUCGAUCCAUUUGGAGAAUUUGUCGACGGCCACCAGCAAAUGGGUGUAUCCCCCUGCCGCUUUUUGUAGAGGGCCUACGAGGUCGAGACCCCAUACCGCAAAUGGCCACGUGAUGGGGAUCAUCUGGGGAGCAUGAGCGGGAAGAUGGGUUUGUUUGGCAUAGAAUUGACACCCGUGGCAUGAGCGUACGAGCUCUAUGGCGUCAGCUACGGCCGUUGGCCAGUAGAAGCCUUGUCGGAAGGCGUUCCCUACGAGGGUCCGUGGAGCAGUGUGGUGGCCGCAAGCCCCCGAGUGCAGAUCCUCGAGGAGCUUUCGGCCUUCUUCUAUGGUGAUGCAGCGCUGCAGGAUCCCAGUCGGGCUUCGUCGAUAUAGUUCGCUGCUUUCGCCGUAGAUCACGUAUGAUUUAGCCCGUCGAGCGAUACGGCGAGCCUCGGAUCGGUCUUCCGGUAGCUCACAUCAAAACAGGCAAUCAAGAAACGGUGUGCGCCAGUCGAACGGUCGACCGGGAUGCUGUUCCACUUCCAUUACUUCUGCUGCCUGCAGCGGGGCUUCGAUAGCGUUGGUUGGAUGAGGGGCAAUGGUCUUGACGUCAGCCCCCAAGCUCAGGUCGACGGAUGGCCCGUGCAGAUCUCUCGAGAACGCGUCGGGUGGGACCGUGCCUCGAGUCGACGCGACCUUAGCGAGCUCGUCGGCCGCAUCAUUGUAGCGUCGGGCGAUGUGGACGAGCUCGGGGCCGUGGAAUUUGUCCUCGAGUCGACGUACCUCCUUGUAGUAUGCCUCCAUUUUUGGAUCGUGCUAGCUCGAGGCCUUCAUUACUUGGUCGUUGACAAGCUGAGAGUCACCUCGAACGUCGAGGCACCGAACCCCUAGCUCGAUGGCGAUCUUCAGCCUGUUGACAAGGGCCUCGUACUCUGCGACGUUGUUAGAUGCGGCAAAAUGUAUUCUAAUGACAUACCUCAUAUGGACGUCGAGGGGUGAGAUGAACAGCAGACCUGCCCUAGCUCCCAUCUUCAUGAGAGAUCCGUCAAAGUACAUCGUCCACAGCUCUACUUGAACUUGAGCCGGGGGGAGCUGAGAGUCCGUCCACUCCGCAACAAAGUCCGCCAGAGCUUGAGAUUUGAUGGCUUUACGGGGCGCAUAAGUGAGGGUCUCACUCAUGAGCUCGACCGACCAUUUGGCAAUUCUUCCUGUGGCCUCCCGACUUCGGAUGAUCUCUCCCAAGGGGAAGGACGAGACCACCGUGAUAGGGUGACCAAGGAAGUAGUGUUGCAGCUUGCGUCGAGCGAGGAUCACUCCCCGUUGACGUUGAAGCAUUCCUUAGUAGGGUCGUAGCUGUCGGAUUCAGAGUCGGUGUCCGGCUCGGCAGCGUAGAAGCAUCCACAUCUUUCUUCUAGCAGCUGCUGCCUGAGUGAGGUGAUCGUGUAUCGCCCAGGUCCUAGGGUCGGAGGCCUCGCACCUAGGAGAAAUCUGGUAGCUCGGCCGCUUGCUGCUGCGCUCCAUCGUCACGCGGGAGGACCAUUGGUCGUUCCACGUACAUCUGAGCAUUCGGACAUAUCGUCCUGGCAAGUGAUGCUGCGGCGUUGUCCAGGCCGAACGGGAGCGUUCUUCUUGAGGCGAACAAUCCGAGCGGUAGCAGCGUCGUGGGGGACGGGAGCAUGUGAGGCGCGUCGUCACCCAACGUCGCCGCGUGGUCCUCGUGACGUCGGGUCGUCGUACCCAUGGCUCCAGCGUGCGGGGUUGUCGACUCCUACGUCACCACCCGCCUGGCACGAGCCGGUGACCGUGAGGAGGCAGAAGAGUGGUGGCGGCGCUGUCCACGCCUCUACUUGCGCGGAGAGGCAUGGUGGCGGGGCCAUCUUGGAGCCCUCAGUCGUGCGGGCGUAAUGCGAGCUCCUUCCGGUCCUUUGGCCGAGAGGAAGAUCAUGUCGUAGCUGAAACCGGUGGACAUGAACUCGAGGCUAACGAACCAAAUCACCGUGGAGCGCGGAAUCGGCGAAACGAGAGUGGCCAUCUGGAAAGAGACGGGAAAUCGGCGAAAAAAACACGCAGAACCCCUACCUGGCGUGCCAACUGUCGGUGUUUUUCCCCCGGGGGGUCACACCAACGAGUAAAACUUUUAUGCGUGCUCCCUUUUCCAGAUGAUGAUGCAAGAAGGACACAGAGAUUUAUCCUGGUUCGGGUAAGAGAAGGCCCUACAUCCAGCGGGGGGGAGAUGUUUCUAUUAUCUUGCACCUAAGUGCUUGUACAGGGGUGAAUACAAGUUUGUAUGGAUGGAGGGAUGGAGAUGAAGUAUGGUUGCUCUUCUAUGUAUGCCUUAUGUCCGUGUCCCCCAUCCUUUCCUGGGCUUCCCCUUUUAUAGUUCCAAAGGGAGACCUAGGUUACAUGCGUAGGGGACAGAGUAGGGGUCGAUAGGGGCGUCGCGCGCUGACUUGCUCGAGGCUUCCGUACCGGCGUGGCCUCGAACCGUCUCAUCUCGGUACCUUGAUGAUGAUUACGCGUGCCUCUGAUUCCUGCUCCCGUGCGCCGUCCUAGAUUGAUUCAUCCGUGGGCACGCCUGUACGUCGUGGCUACAGUUGCGUCGGAGUGGUUGGAGUGCUGUCUUUUGCCGCCUGACCCUUCUUAGGGAAGGAACAUGUUUGCUCGAGGGUCCGAUGUCGUGCAAGGCCUCGCAGACAUGACCGCUGACUUUAGGCAUCUAGAGGGGGGGCGUGACAAGACAUCCCAUUUGUCUCGCCGUGCCCUGCCACGCUCUGGUUCGUCUGAUGGACAAGGCUGCAAAAAAGGGGCGAUUGGACGGAUGCUUGCUCCCUAUCACGCUUCCCGUGACUGUCGGGUUAGGUGAGAACGCGACAGGGGCAUUAAAUGCCCUAGUUCCCAUACCCGCGCCAGGCGGCGGGCGUCGUCCUUGUGCUCGAGGCUCGUACGAGGCUCGUCGAUUCGUACGAGCCAGUUUCCGUAUUCGACGUUCGUCGUUCGGUCGAGCCCCAGUCGAUUCGCACGACGCUCUUUCCGUGUUCGUGGCUAUGGACGUCGUCUUGUCUUGACAAUCGUACAUUCGAUCGGGGGGCGUCGAGCCGGGGGCCUCGAUUCAUGUACAGAUGCUCUCGUUAUGCCUGUCGGUUAGGGUACCCCUUACUGAUACCCCUGACACACACAUCUACUACACCAUCCACCACUAUUCAUUAAAAUUGCUAAAAAUAUUAUCACUCACUGUCCCAAGUGUUGUUAUUCUCUCUCUCCAAAAAGAUUCAAUGCAGAAGAGGCAUGGGUUAUGCAAAAAUAUGCGAGGAAAUAAAAAGGGGCAAGUGCCUGAAACCUCGAAAAAGAAAGAAAAAAGAGUGAGACGAGAGGUAAAAAUAGACAAGUGUCCGUAGUAGAAUUAGGGGUACAAAGAUGCCCACCUGAGCGGAAAAAAUGGACAAGUGUCUGACAGUAGAAUUCGGGGUAUUCACUACCCACCUGAAAAAAAGAUAGCCCAUGUUCUCCCAAAGCAAAGAUCAAGAGAGGAGGAGAGAUAGCAAUAUGAGGAGCAAUGACUAGUAAGUUUUAUCAUCACUUAUACAUUUUUACCAUCACUAUCAUCUACUCCACCACACAAGCACAUUUUAAUUUAACUAUAUGCUGAGUUCCUUUGGAUCCAUGGCUUGAUUAGACAACAUAUGUAUGAGCUGUUUUUCACUCAUAUGAGCCUCACUUAAAUAUUCCAUUAGUUAUAGGUAAGUGACCUUUUUUGGUAAGGAUCCACAAAUACCACAUAUAGAGAGACUUGAGAGAAUCAUAGCUGGGAACUCUGAGCUUUAUUUUUGAAAACGUAUGCAAAACUCCAGAACAAAGGUGAAGUAUAAAUUGGAGGAAUAGUGCUUGACUUAAUUAUUUUGUCUUUCGAUUACUUAAGACUUAAGUGCAGGUACUAAGCUCCAUGACACUUCACUCUAAUCUGGGAGAAUUUUAUAUGAAAGCAUGUGUGCCUGUUAGGAAAGAAAAUAUCAAAGUAACUCCUGAUCCAUCUAAGUUUAGCUGUUUGCUCAGGGACGAGCAAAGGGUAAGCUUGGGGGAGUUUGUUAACGGUCCUUAAAUACUAAAUUUAACUAUCAACUAAACAUGGAAAAGGAUUAAUAUGCACCAAACAUCUAGAAUUAGGGUUUUAUCUGACAGAAUUCCAUGAGCUUUGGUGUUUGUCUAUUUCUUCAGGGGGUUAUCAGAAAAUAUGAAGAGAAGACCCACAUGUCAGGUUAACAACGAGAUAAUUACGUGCCGCAUAAUUUUCCUUAAUCUAGAAGAGUCAGAAGCCACGGGAACGAACGAGAGGCCAGACGGGCCCGGGGGCAGGGCUCCCACCCAACCCGCUUGGGCGCCCGCCCACCUGCAGUAGCCAAUCAGGCUCCGUCUCCUGGGUCGUGCUCCACCGCCUCUAAUCUUCAAGAAUAACCGUGCGAUUAAGGUCGGUUUGAUCCGACGGCCCACAUUCCCUUGAGGGGGCUAUAUAAGCAAGGCCUCUCCACCCCAGGGGAGGAGGAGAAAUCAUUAUCAGAGGAAGCCAUCAAAGUUAGGGUUUAGGAAUUUCUCUCCCACAGAGAAUUAGAAUUAUCUACUCCCAGUUCCUUCAAAGUUCUAUAGGAUUGAUUAGAUAGAAUUAGAGAAGUAGAGCACUACGCUCUGGAUUUCGGAUCAUCAUCAAUAAAGAUUGGUAUUAUUUCAUAUCUUUCUCUACUACUUUAUUCUAAUUGCAUUAUGUCUCUAUUUAUUAUGUUCUUAGUUUGCUCUAGUUCUAUAUUUGAUAUAGUUAUGAUUGAUAAUGAGUUUAUGUAUAAGUUUGCAAAGCGCUUAGCUCUUGACGCGCGGGAGUUAAGUGGUAGAUCACAUGUGGGCGUGGUGCUUAGAUGUUAUUUACCUGCAAAUGUAUCCUAUUGGCCGGGUCGUGUGGUAGUUCGCGAUGGUGACAGCUUCAUUGAUUCUUAUAUAGUGCACCCUCCGUUGAUAGGACAGGUAGAAUUUGUGUUGCGUUGUAAGUCUUGCUAUGUUCUAAUUUACUUUAGCAAUGUUUCUUAUACAUGAAUAAAGAGUCUUUUAUGCUAUAUAUGAUCUUGUAGAUAACUAGAGUAGAUUGUGACUUAGUAGAUAGUAGAUAACUCAGAAUCCAUUCUCUAGCUAAUCCGACGUCACCUUACAUAUAUGAGGAGUAGUCUAUUUUCUAAUCGCUGUGUUAUUUACCAAUGAGCUUAUAUUUCAUUAUCAUUAUUAUUAUGGCUUACCCCCUACCAAAGCAAGUGACUGUGUGACGUGUUUCUCAUUAGUAAUCAUGUUAUUGUAAGUUUAUCUCUAGUAUAUGCCUUGAUAGAUUUUACCCACUUUCACCGUUCUCUUAAGCAAAAUAUAAAUAACGAUACCCAGAAUUUCCUGGUGAAAAGCUACAAUGAGGUAUUUUAUCUGUGCGCUUGCGGAUAGAAUAGAUUAUUUUCUACAGAGCCUUCAUAUUCAUAAAUACCUUGGUACACUCUAGUGCCAUGCUGGGAUGACAACCUAGUAUUCAAGUGGUGUUAGCAAGUGUCAACAAUAGUAACAUUGUUCAUAAAAAUUACAUAUCUAUCUUAUAGUUUAUGAAACCAUAUGAAAUAUAUAUAUAAUUUAUGAACAAUGUUACUGUCACUUUGUCGGAUGAACAAAUGGCCAAUAUAAAAGUUAUAGAUCUUGAUGUCUUCUACAACUUUGUUGUUGAUGACUUUUUUAGCUGGAAUCAUUUACUAUUUCAAAAUGUUGUUUGAAGUAGUCAUUUUUUAAAUUCAAAUUUUGAAUUAUUCAAACAAAGUCAUAUGAAAAGACGACUAAAAUAACAAUUGUAGAUCUAAAAAAGUUAUAGAAGUUUGUAGUUGACAACUUUUUUAUUUGAGAUUAUUUUUUCAAGUAAAACUGUAAUACCCGAUUUUAAGGACAAAAUCAGAUAUGCACCAUAUAUGAGUUUUAGAAGUUAAAUCUCCCAUAUAGCUACAAAUAAGGGGUAAUAUCAAAAGACAAUGCAUAAAUUAUUAUAUAACGUCCAUAAUAAAUUAGAGAUAACCUUAAGCAGCAAACAACGGAAGAUAACUCCAACUUCGGGUAUUAACUCCACUCUACAGGAUCCAACUGACUGAUUGAUCACAAGCCUAAACUUCUCCUGAGGUUUGGAGAAAAUAGCAAGAGCGAGUCCAUGUCGAACUCCACAAGUAUAGCAACUAGAUUGUAUAGCUCCCACAAUCUCAUGAUCAAUGUGACAUAAAUAAUGUAGAGUAUUAAACAAUAAACAAUGAGCAUAUUUAACACACAAGAUUCAUCACCCUUAAUGUAGAUGUCCCCAAGGCCGCUCCUGACCGUGAGCUCGGCUAGUAUACUAGUUUUACACUCUGCAGAGGUUGUACAUCUUUACCCAUGAGUCAUGAUUUACCCUUUCGCCCGAGGUGAUCAGCCUCUUAACCCACAACCAAGGAAGGUCGGCAGGGAUCACUAUGAAUCCUUUCAAAGGUUUCGUAUAACAAGUUAGGGCCAUUAGAUUCACUCGGCAGGCAGAUAUAGAGCCCCCCUUCCGUGGCACAUAACCCGUAGCCUAUACAAACGGACAGAGGCCACACUAUAUCCAACGUGUCUAGCCAUUCUUACGCCAUUUAAGGUAACCGCUAACAAGCUAGAAAAAGAUCCUCAUACUGAGCUAAAGCCAGAGCCAUUAUAGCCCUCAUGGUUGCACUGUUAUCCCGGGUGAUCACGUACAUAUAAAUCAUCAAGUUUUUUAAAAAGUCAUUUUUAUUAUUUAUUACUUAACUUUAAUCUAGUCACAAGAUCAUGGUCACAGAAAUAAAAUCCAAAUGCUAUACUUGCCUUGAUCCAAAUGCUCUUGCUUAUCCUUUUGGUUCUGCUGGUCUCAGUUGUCCAAGGCUCUGAUCUUGAUCACCAAAAACUGCUCUCCAUCUAAAUUCGAUCAUCGAUCUUCAUCACACAAACAAUCGGAAACAAACAUACACGAAGCAAAUAAGGCUACAAUUAGAACAGUACACCAAUCAUAUAAAAAUAGUAUGAAAAGUUUAUAUAAUGAUUCUACGCAUCGCUACGAUUUCAUAGACGUAAAGAUCGCGAAAAUCGGAGUUAAAACGGAGAAUAUACGAAUUUUCUAGGAUUUUAUACAAAUAAGUAAAUAAUUAAUUAGGGUCACGAAAAUAAAAAGUUUCAAAUUAGUGAAACAGUGAGACUAUCAUGUAGAACUUAUUAUUACGAAUCCAACACAAUUUAAAUGGGUCAAAAUCGGAGUUAAAUCUGAGAAGAUAUGGCCUAAACAAGCUAGUGUAUUUCAUUUGUAUUCUAUAUUUGUUUUUCUAAAGGAAAACGGUAAUUAUGCAUGUGUGACAUCAUGAUGAAAUCAUCAAGCUGGCAAAGAUGACAUGGCCGGCUGCUCUGCUAUCUGUGCUUGCUCAAGCGGUGCGCGUGCGUGCAAUACAGGGAGAUGGGAUGCAAGGCUGUUGGCUUAGCAGACAUGGGGCCUGGUGCCCGUGGAAGUGCCAUGGACGGGAGCUCGGCUCCUCGCCAGAACAGUGAUUCGGGCCUCAGAUGGGUAUGCGAAAGGUACAUGGAUAUCGUGAACUCGUGUAGGGCAAUUGUGAAGCCGGAUGUGCGGGGUUUGCUAGCCAGAACAGGGUCAAGGCGCGGAGGAGCUCCAUGGCUAGUGGCCAUAUCCUUGCCGGCGAGGCACAAGGACACGUCCUAGGGCUCGCUUUCAUUCGAGAAAAUACGAAAAGACAGAGUGGAUCACGGCAAGAUUACCUAGGGCUCCACGUGAACCGAGAGGGCUCGGAGAGGACGCAAGGAUCAGUGGAGCGGACGGUCACAUACAUGGCUGGCAGCUACGACGACGGUAGAGCUUGGCCUCUGGGCGAGAUAUCCAAACGACGACAGCAAGGCGGCGCUGCAACACUUGGACGGCGGCGGCUCAUGGAAGGCCGAGGGUAGGACUGCAUGUAUGAUCUGUCUAACCCCUAAAUAAAUCGCUUUGCCCAAACCCUAACGCUUAGCCUCCGUACACAAAUACUACCAGCUGUCUUUUGGUCCGUCGGCGAACGAACAUAUCAAUCGAGUCCAUGUCUGAUUAGGUAACGAAUCAACUCCAAAUCUGAUUACGUACGUGGACACUCAGCCCGGCUUACAAAUCGAGUCUGAUACGUGUACGUGCAGGUAAAUAUGUGUACGCUCUGUUCGGCUAAGUGACCUUUGCUAGGCUUUCAGCCCACAUGACCAAUCGAGUACAGAUGCUUUGAGCAUUUUACAAAAAUUAGAUAUUUUAUUACUUUCAGGAUUAAUUAAUUUUGUGAAUAAAAUAAUUCUACAAAAGUCCUGAUUUAUUGUUUAAGCUGCGAAAAAUACUCUGAAAGCUCCGAAUAAAAACUUGAGUUGAGAAACAAGAAAUUUGGUUGAUAAAGAUAAAGACGUACCGGUCAUCAAGGAAGAUCGAUCUACUAAACGCAUUUUAAAAACUUUGCUCACUCAACACAUAAAGGAGCAACAAGUGUCACGUCAAAACAUAUGCACCAGCAUGUAUGCAUAAUAAUAUUGCUAAUCCUUAUGAUAAAUUUUAAUUUAAAAAAUAUAUUAUUUUUCCUAUAUUUUCAUGUGCACAAAAAUAUAAAAUUAAAUAAUUUUAUCUAUAUUUGAAAAGGAGUAAAUUUUAGGGUGUUACAAAAACUACAUUUGAAUUCCUCAAAAUUGAAAUUUGAAUUUUUCAAACGAACUCUAAUGGAGAAAUAACCAAAAUAGAAGUUGUAGAUCUAGAAAAGCUAUGAAAGUUUAUGGUUGACAACUUUGCCAGUUGAGAUCAUUUCGUUAAAGAAAACUCAUAUUUGAAUUUCUUAAAUUUAAAAUUUGAAUUUUUCAAACGACUUAUGAUGGUGAAAUAACCAAAAUGAAAGUUAUAGAUCUCAAAAAGUUAAACAACUUUGUACUUGAUAACUUUUAAAUUUGAAAUCAUCUUGUCAAGGAAAACUAUAUUUCAAUUUCUCAAAUUUGAAAUUCUAAUUUUGUAAACAACCUUGAUGGCGAAACAACCAAAAUAAAAGUUAUACAACUUUGUAGUUGACAAGUUUUUCUUUUAACUUCAUUUGGGGUCUCAAACAAUCAAUUUAACGUCAGUUUAGGAUGAUACAUAUGUGGGAAAAGAAAAUCUAAUAUAGAUACAAGUGAGUUUGAGGUGCCCUAGUACAGUAGGGUACAUGUGAGGGAGAAGUUGCAUGUUCAAAUCCCACUACCCAUGAGGUGUGCUAAAAAAGCUUGACCGAUGACUUGAACACAGCCUCCCUAGAUUAAUUUUUUUUUCUGUACAUAUUUGUGAAUUUUUAGAAAUAGAUUUGUAGGAGCGGCUGUGUAGUAGUGGAUAACUGGUUGCCAGAUAAUCUAGAAAAUUAGAAAUGUAGUCAUCUUUGAUGAUGACAACUUCAGCUUAGGGAUUUAGAAGAACAUUUUUAAGGAGGAGCUUGGAUUGGUUUGCAUCAAGACCAAGCAUAGCAGGAAACUAUAGCCCUUGGAUUUAUUUGCAUCAAGGCCUCCUCUGCUGGCGCUUCAAAAAAAAAAAAGAGAAGACUUUAGUAACGAUCUCCCAAUUUAUUUGAGACACAGAAAAAAAAGAGUCUAUAUGAAUAGCAUUGUGAAUAUGUAUGGAAGCAUAGGAGGAACUAGACGAAGCAUUGCUGAAGGGACCUAAUUUGUCAUGCAUCCAAACUGUCAGUUAUUUUCCGAUCGUAUUCGAUACCGUAUUCGUUUAAAGGGGUUCAGAUCUGUUCGUAUCCGUGUUCGAAUAUUCAACAUCCGAUACUGUAUCCGUAUCCGAAUAUUUAAAUCAUAUAGUUAUGAUAUCGACAUCUAACCUUGUCUUAUCCGACAUGGUUGAUAUUAUCCGUAGUCGAAUUCGAAUCCAAUCAGAAAUAUAAAAACCAAUAUAAUAUCGGCCGUUAUGCUGGAAAAGUAACGAUGAUCUCCGGCGUCUAUGGAGUUGUUCGCUGUUUCACGAUAAAAUAUCAUUCUGGUGUUUAGUGGAGUCUAGGUGUCUAAACUUCAUCUCUUGUUAUUCUUUUUUUUUUGAGUUCGGGCAGUUUAAAAUGACAUGAAAACUUUUCUAGAAAAAACGUGUUUCCUAAUGUUUUUGAAUAUACAUUUAUAAAUACGUUUAUUUAUAUGGCAAUAUAAAAUUGAUGUCAAAGUUGACUGCAACGGACUAUGUGUAAUUUAGUUGGUUAGAUUACUUGUGGUGCAAUACAUAUGUCCACAAUACCUCGAGUGUUCAUAUUUUUCUUAAUUUUAAUUUAAAAACAACGUUCUUUAUUUAGUGUGAGAUAGCGAGCACGGUUUACUAAGAGGAUACUCUCGGUGACUUUGACGGAGCUAGUCGUCAAUUAGAAGUCUUCUAAAGCUUCACACAAAUAACCAAUGCAAAGCUGUAAUAAUAAAAUGUAAUACACAUGCAUGGAUCUAGUAGAACGGCAAUCGAUGUCCACGGUCAAUUCACCAGCUAGGCAGAUUAGCUUAAGAAGAUUUAUUUGCUGAUCUGUCUGUGUACUUUUUAGAUAGUGGAAUAAAGUCUCAGCCUCUACCAUCUAUCUAUCUACUUAUGUUUACAUACAUAUUAAUUCAACGGGCCUUGUUCAGUUCCCAAAUUUUUGGUUUUUUUGACACUGUAGCACUUUUGUUUUUAUUUGACAAAUAUUAUCCAAUCAUGGAUUAACUAAGUUCAAAAGAUUCAUCUCACAAUUUAUUUUCAGGUAAACUGUGCAAUUAGUUUUUGUUUUCAUUUAUAUUUAAUGCUUCAUGCAUAUGCCGCAAGAUUCGAUGUGACAGAGAAUCUUGAAAAUUUUUGGAAACUAAACAAGGGCCUUGUUUAGUUCCGAAAAGAUUUCGGAUUUUGGUACUGUAGCACUUUCGUUUGUUUGUGGCAAAUAUUAUCCAAUCAUAGACUAACUAGACUCAAAAGAUUCAUCUCAUGAUUUACAGACAAACUGUGUAAUUAGUUUUUGUUUUCAUCUAUAUCUAAUACUUCAUGCAUAUGUCACAAGAUUCGAUGUGACGGAGAAUCUUGAAAAGUUUUUGGAUUUCGGGGUGAACUAAACAAGGCCAAGGCCUCAAUUCUCUCCUUAGAGAAGGAAGUUUUCUCUCUUUAGAGAAUGAAUUUUUGUUCUGGAGUCUGGACUCUGUAAGUCUGUAUGCAGGAAUUUUUGUUCUGGAGUCUGGACUCUUGUGUGCUGGACUCUGUAUGCAGGACUUUGAACCCCAUUGUUCUGGAGUCUGGACUCUAUAUCCUUCAUCUACUGCGAAGGGGCCUGUAGCUCAAUGAUUAUAAGAUAGUUUCAAUGAGAGUUUUAAUAAAGUUUCAUAGAUAUUAAAUAUAUUGAUAUGACACCGUAUUAAUAAAGAAAGAGACAAGAGUUUUAUGAGAGUAGAGAGAAUUUCAUAGGAGUUGAGAGAGUUUCAUAGGGAUGAAACUCUUCUGCACGGUUUUCUAUAUAUGGAUACGUUGGAAACUGGGUCAUGAAACUCCCACCGAGGAUGGCGUAAAAGUCUUAGUAGCACCUCAGCUCCUUCGUUCUAGUCGACACCUGUGAUGACUUCAUCAAUUUUGCAGAUUUACUGCCCUAGUCUUCUAAGAUGUUCAUAGGUGUAAAGUUUAUGUGCGUGCAUUAUGAGUGUUUGCAUUACAAUGUGUAAUUCGGUAAAAAAAAAGAAAACCUUGAUCUGUUUCUUGAGAGAGGUCGUUUGGGAGUGGUGCACCCCAAAGGACGAGAAUCGGUCAAGUUUGGCGCUCCGAUCCUCCUACUAUAAUGGAGGAUAAAAUCGCUACUCAUUGAGCUUCACGAGCUGGGGGAUGGUGGAGAUCCAAAUAAUGCUUCCAAAGGAUACUUUCGUCGAUUACUGUAUGCCUUCGGCGUGGCGCGCGUGUUCUGAUCCUCAUUGGUGCCACUUGAUUUAAAACCGAUCUCAGAUGUAAUACGAUAUCUUCGCGGGGAAUUGAAAAAAAAGAAGCAAGAAUGGUCGUACGUAGCCCUCGGGUACGUACCAAGUCAAGCUUUUAAUUUGAAAAUUGCAAAAAAAAAGGCCAUCGUAUGCAUUUUAUUAUUAUUACAAGAAGGGCCGAAUAUGAAACAACCAAUUGGUUCUGGCUUGAAAAGACCAUCAAAUUUCCAAGCUUCGACGACGUGACAGUCACGAGACGUGCUUUUUCUACACUUCUCUCGCAGUGCGCCCGCACGUACAUAUCCGCUCGAUCCUCUCCUUGCAUGCCCUAGCUAGCAGCCUAGCUUCAGUCUUCCAUCCUGCAUGAGUGUAGUACGUCCUUACGAGAGGCAACAAUGCAGAUCACAGCAAUGGAGAAGUACGUACGCAGGAGCAGGAGUAGCACGUCUCUGCAGCGUCGGGCGGCGGAGAAGAAGAAGGGCUUCCUGGCCAAGACCCUGGAGCGUUGCUGGUCCCUGGGUGGUGGCCGCCGGCGUCCACGGUGGCCGACGACGACGCCACCGGGGUGCUUCGUGGUGCUGGUCGGCCCGGAGAGGGAGCGGUUCGCGGUGCGCGCCGAGGGCGCCAACCACCCGUUGUUCAGGGCGCUGCUCGACGAGGCGGAGGCCGAGUACGGCUUCCCGCGCCCGGCGGCCGAGCCGCUGCUGCUGCCGUGCGCCGCCGACGAGUUCCUGCGGGUGAUGUCGGAGGUGGAGCGGGAUCAUCAUCAUCAGGAGGACGACGACGACGUAGCACGCGGCGGCGCAGCAGUUGCUGGUGCAGCAGCGGCACUGUCGUCGUUGUCGCCGGCGUGGAGCUUCUUCUUGAAAGGAGGUGCCGCCGCCCGUGCAGGUUUCCAGAGGAUGAGCCCCGGGCGCUUCUUGAAUUAAUCCUAGCAGAUAGAGCUGCGGCCGAGCAAACGUGACCUGCAGCUGUUAGAAAUCAGUUGAGUGCUUGGCUUCAAGAAUACGAGGAUAACGAUGGAUCAUUUCACUCCAAUCCUGAUUUGUUCCUCGUAUGUGGCCAGUUUGUUUGAGCAAUGGGAUAAGUCUGAUACAUUGUCACUUCAUUCCCCGUAAGUACAAGCACAGUACUUUGCAAUGUUUACCUUAAUCAAAAUUUAUGACAUGAACCUUUUAGCUAGGGUCACCCUACCAAAGAUUAUUUGACCUUUUUCUAGUUGAGUUAUUAUGAGUUUUUUAACGUAUCCUUCCUUUUCGGUUUCUAGUGGAUUGGAUUUGCAUUUGUAGAGCCAAACUUAGUUGCUAGGAAUUUCUAGUAGAUUGGAUUUGCAUUUGUAGAGCCAAACUUAGUUGCUAGGAGUUUUACAUACAUGCAGUAUUACUAGAAUAAUAUCAUAUAUACUUGGGGAGGAUAGGAUAAUUUGACCUGAGUAUCAAGACCGGUUGGGGGCGGUGUGACACGAUAAGGGUAGGGAAAAAAAUUCCCCCUCGUGCACUACGCCUCUGUCCAUUGCACGCACUUUUUUCACCCUUCUGUCUCUAAUACGUGAGCCAUGCCAACGAUUGGAGCAUGCGCUCAGAUGCAUAAUCUUAGCUCUAUGGGCAUACUGGCAUCCCUGUUGGUAUCAACAGCUUUUCCUCUCGGUGCAGUAGAAACACAGGGAAGUGAGGCGCCUGUGAUGGAGCGACGAUGCAACCGAGAGGAGUGGUUUGCACCAAUGGGACAAAAGUUUUAUUAUUGUACUUCAAAACUCACUAUAAGAUAUUCGGCCUUCUAUGACAAAGAUUUGUAUACGUAAUCCAAAGGUAGAAAUUUUCGAUGCACAAUGCUACUGCAAAGUUUGAUAGUGUCGAAUACAGUGGCGGAUCUAGGAAAUAAGUCAGGAGGGGCUCAUCUCAUAAUCUUUCAUCGUAGCCUCUCCUUCCAAGCUUGAAUGGGUGCAAAUUUGUGUUUGGGAUAUAGAAUUGCAAAUUCUAGAAAUGUGUUUGCAUGAAACCUCAGAAUUUAGAGUGCAAACUUUUCAACUAAAAAAUUUUUAGAGUUCGGUGUAUGAAAUUUUGGAAUGUCAUAGUUAAAUUGUCCCAGCAUUUAUGUUUAAAGUUUCUCAAUUACAAAAAUUUUGGGUCUUUCAAGUGCAAAAGUUUUGGAUGAUGGGAAUACAAAGUUUUUAGUGUCCUAGUUCAAAGUUUGUUGAUUCGAAGGAAAAGCAUUUUAUUCCAACCAGUGAUUACAUAUUAAACGUUUUCUCUCUUAUAUUUUUUUUUCAAAAUUGAUUUCUGUUAUUUUGUGUUCUAACUUCUUAUACUUCUACCUAUAUAUUUAAGUGAAACCACCACCCCCGUCUGUUCACUACACACAACCGCUAUUCUAAAAGAGAAACAACAAAUAUAAACUAGAAGGGAAAAAAAAAGAGUGUCCCAAAUAAACCAGACAAGAGAAUUGGACUGACGAAUCAUCAAAAAGACAAAAAAAAAUGACUUACGUAAAAAACUGGACUCCUGAAGCUAAAUGGGCAUUCGGUUGAAGCCAGAAAGGGAACAGGACUCCAAAGUUCAUGUGCCGAGACGCAGAAUUCACGCACGAACAAUUUGUUGUGCUUGUGUGCAGCUACCCUGCCGUAGUCCACGCAGCGAUCCCCUUCGAGCGUGCGCGUGUUGCUAUAUCCCUCGCAGCACGCGCAUUGCCGAGUAAGAAAGAUCGUCGUAUUGCCUUGACAAAAGGGAACACAUGUGUGGGCCCGUGUGCGCGAGAAAACACCACUACUACUACAGAAUUGGUUUGUAAGAUCCAAGGGAUUUUCGGCGGCUGGUGAUGCAAUCGCCCUUACAGUGCAUUUUUCAUCAGCACUAGGCUAGUUGAUCACGAGCCGCCCUUACAAAUACCACAACACGAGCCGCCCUUACAAAUGAUUGUAUUUGUAAGGGCUGUUGUUGACCUAGCCGCCCUUACUGUGGGAUUUGUAAGGGCGGCUCGUGAUCCAGCCGCCCUUACAAACUAAUUUCUAAGGGCGGUUGGUGAUUGUUGGUGCAAAAGUAGAUCUGCAAACACAAAGGGCUAAUACCUGAUUCAACGUUAAGGCGUGCCAGCCGAUUUGACCUUACAAUCGACAAAGGUGAUAACUCAAAUACUUUGGUCCCGACAACAGCGAUGCGCCCGGAUGUCACGGCCAAGAGGUAUUCACGCGGAACUUGAGAACUCGCCGAGACUGACUCGAUGAAUUCCUAAGAACUCCUAAGUAAAAGAAAAUAUGCGAGUUGACGAAGUCGUCGAAAAAGUAGAUGCUGGAAUAGAUGUAAAAACUUGUGUUUGAUUGAUUGUGUAUAUCUUCUUACAUCGCUACGGGGUCUACAUUUAUACCCUGUCCAAAAGAGUUACAAUCAGACACGACUAGGACUCGAAUUCCAAAUUGAACGGAAUCCGUAUGCAAAACAAACUCUAAUAACUAUGGAAAACAUUAAUUUAUCCACCACAACCGAUCGACACACCAUCACCAUCCGAUCGACAAUUCCUGCGCCUCCUUUUGUGACCAUCGGCGAAUCACCUUUCUCAGCCAUCGGCAACCAACAACAUCAGUCAUCAGCAUAGAUCCAUCACCACUCUUGGACGGGCCAUAUUCUGUCAUUUCAUCAUCGGUAUCAACCCUCAUCGGCAACUCUUCUGUCAACUAGUCACCACUUUUUCGCCUGCCGAUCUACGCCUCAUUAAUUCCCAGAUACGCGUCCAAAGAUACGUGUCCAAAAACGGUGUCAACACAUGCCCCUAAUUUCGGAGUAUAAAAUUAUUAAUGCUCCGAAAUUCUCCUCAGUAAUGAUGUCUUUCCGCAAUUACUCCCUCCUGACAGUAAUUAAUUACCAAAUCCAAACAACCUUAGCCCGAUUCUCCAACAUGCUCCUUGAAUCUCUCAACUUCUCGAACCGAAUCUCCUAAAUAUACGUUCAUCGGCAAUAUUUCCGUUAGAGAGGAUUGCCGAUGAGCCGACCAGGAGAUCUUACAUAGUAAGAUAUCUUCAAAAUCAUGACCGCUUGUUGUCAAAUCACCUGCACAAUCCCUUGAUUACCGUGCGAAUAGUUACCAUAUCCACCUAAAGACCCUCAGAUUUCACGGAUACGGUAAAGAGAUAAGUCAGAAUUGCCCCUGCUCACUUUACCCUAUAAAUACUUCCUUCCUUGGCACUCUUCCUCCACCUUGUCAUUCCACACCUUCCAAACAUAUCUCCCUGGCGGCGGCAUCGUUGGAGAAUUCAAGAACUCCGGUGAAGAUCUUCCCCAACAAUUCUUCGAGCCCUUGAUCCCUUCCUCCCUUCAGGAAGAAAUGGCUAUCAACUUCGUCGUUCCUGAGGUCAAUUCUGCACCACCUUUCUUCUUUUUACCGUACUUUCGAUUUUUUGCACGACUAUUUACUUGGUGUUUUCUCUCUUUCUUUUCUCUGUUUUUCCAACAUUCAAACCUUUAGGAAUUAGUCAAGAAGAUUGUCAUUCCCACCGAUCAACCCCACUUUCAAUGUCUCGGACCAUUGGGUAAUCCGGAUCCUACCGAUCUGAUCAACGUGGAAACAAAUAGGAUCCCCUUUAGAGCUGAGAAUUUUUCUUUAGAUCUCUGGAAAGACACUUUCCGAUCCUGGCCUAGUUCUACCAAGGGAUGGAAGGAUUGGUUCUUAAGAAUCGGCAACUCAAACGAAGUCCAAUGGGGUGAACGUAAAUUAGACUAGUGCAUUAGGCUAUCUCUUGCGGAUAUGGAAAGAAACGAAUCACUACGGAUAGCAGCCUCGUACUUCUGGUCAGACACCCUUAAUGCUUUCUUGUUUGGUCAUGGCCCUGAUUCUCCUACCCUUGCCGCUGUAUUUAUGCUCACUGGUCUAGAAAUAGCAAUUGCCGAUGAUAGCCACCUGUUCGAUAGUAAGCCUGAACGUAAAGUAGAAACUCGUAACAUCGGCGGCUGGUCAGGGUACAUCCAGAAGUACCGGAAAACAGGACCAGUUGGACAAAGGGAGCAUGUCAUCUUUCUGAACAUGUGGCUAGAUAAAUUUGUCUUCUGUGGCCAAUUGGUAGGGCCAACUUCUGUUUAUCUAUCGGCAGCAGAGAAACUAGCCGGUGGUGGUCGCUUCCCUCUUGGCCGAUACUUGAUAGGCUCUGUUUAUCACCUCCUUCAUCAAGUGGCUGAGAAGAUUCUGUUAGGCCAACCCAUCGGCAACUUAGGAGGCCCUUGGUGGUUCAUCAACAUGUGGCUUAAUGUUCACAUGCACAAAUGCCUUCGAUUCGACCUCUUCGCACAGCGAUUUCCCAUAGAUAUCGUCGAAGAUCAUGAACUGGCCGAUGAAGAAUCAGCAACUCGCCCACCCCUGAACUACGGUGAGGCCACUAUAGUCCUACCCGGCACUGGUGGCAAUGAAGACCAGGUCAGCCGAUUCUUCUAGACUCUAUAUGAUGGCCUUCCCAAAGAUCAGCGGGCAUGGAUGCCUUAUGAAGAUCCAGAAACUAGAUUCCCGGUCACUUUUCACCCUUUUGAUGACGCUCUCAACAAAGACAAUGACCUGAUGAUGGCAAUCAUCACUCCAAGGGCCAUCCCAGUGAAUAUUUUCGGUAGUGGGAAGAAUACCAACCCCACUUAUGAAUUUUACAAUCCAUCGGCACUAGCUCGUCAACUAGCUUUUGGGCAGCUGCCGAUUAGACUCUGUUAUGCUGAUGUGGUGAAGCCAAGGGAGACUAUAACCAGCGGACUUGAGUGGAUAAGAAUAGCUCAGCUUCAGCCAAAUGCCGAUACGUCAGACAUUGAUCUAUCAGCAUGGAUCACAACCCUCUUCAUCACUCAGAUGUACAAGCAGUGGUGGGAAGAAUGGAAGGAACACUUGUUCAGUACAUUGGCUCUGACAUAUUGCGGCAUGAUCGACCCCAACUAUAAGGUUCCCGAUAACACUGUAAGUCUUUGACCGAUUUCUUAACUCCUUUAUCUCUUUUAUUCUUAUCGGUAACUUACUUGUUUUCAUUUUAAUAGGUCGACAAUCCAGCCCCGACAGUUAGCAGGAGUGGAAGACCGAUCGAACUCCUUCCAUCAGGUCCAGUCUCGCUGAUCGGUCAUAACGCACCGAGCUUAGCAGCCCUGGCGCAUCGGAACGUGCGCUUCAAGAAGACGACCACCAGGCGGUCGAAGACUUCCCCAUCGGUUGCUGUUGACGGUGGAUAUACCAUAGAAAUCCACAUACAAAACACCAUCAACAUGCCUCGGUUGCAAGGGGAAAUGACAUGACAUGAACAUAUUUUAUCCAUAACUAGUUCCACUUGUACUCUUAGCUUGUUUAUGCAGGAACAACAAAUUCAAGACAUUAUUUGACAAAGCCAACAUCAGAAUCAUCAAGAGGAGAUCGAGGGGACAACAGGUGACACCCUAGGCCCACAGGGAGGGGGUCGCCCGACCCCUCUUUGGUGGGACCCAGGUGUGCCACCUACUCCACCGACAUAAGGGACCAUUGUGGACACUGCUGGUGGGCCCAGGUGGUCAGGAGUGGGGUCGCCCGACCCCACAUGUAAGGCGGUUUCAGGGUCGGUGGCCUCCCACCGACCUUCCCCACAUGUCUCACGUGUUGGUUUGCCCCUGCCGUUGAUCAAAUGGCGGUUGUGAAGUCGGUUUGAUCCAAGGGUGGAGAGGCAUGAUCACACGGAUCGAUGACGUGGCGGUGGAGUAGCCCCUACUCCACCUCUCCCUAUAAAUAGAGGCUGAUUUCACCCUUCCAAGGCAUGAUGAAUUCAAGGUUCAAGUAUCCAAGCUAGAUACAAGUGAGUAGUAGUAGUAGUAGUCUAGUGUGGGAGUUAGAGUUGAGUCGAGCGAAGCUCGGGGUCUCCGGAGUCGUCUUCUGGAGAGUCUGGUAUAGCUCUUGUAUCUUUUCUCCUGUAAGACUUGUUUUCUUAAUAUAUUCUCUUUCUACUUUUCUAAGUAUUACUUUGUGCAAUAUUAUUCUUGCAAUAGUAUUGUAGUGUUCUAUCUUGUCCUUUAGUAGUUACAUAUUAGAUUGUGAUCCUGUAACAAGCUCGUGGCUGUUUCCCAUCGCCUUUAGCAAGGUGCUAUAGUUGUUUGAUCGCAGCUAGAGUAGUGAGAGUUAGCGUAAGCGCGGUGCUUAGGCUAGGUCUUGCCUUUGGGUGUCGCUGGCUCGGACGGAAAGUAGGGGCGCACUCCCUAGGAGGUGACAGAUCGUGGGCGGCAUUAGGUUCUCCUCACGUACGAGCUAGUUCUUAAAAGAUAAGGCGUCCAUAAGCCCAAUAGUCGCUUUCGGUAAGGGGUUAGGUGAAAAACCUUUUAAGCGUCUUACCAGCUCGGCUAUCCCUGGCAGCCAUUAGUAAGGUAUCAAUCUAGUGUGUCUCUGCUAUUUGAUUAAGAUUAGUUCACGAGAGUAGAAUUAGAUAUCCUAGGAACCUGUACUCACUCGUUGUCCUCCCACCUAGCUACUCUACUCUAGUUAUCUUGUAGUUAUCCUUUUUGAUUAUCUCUGGAUCAUCAUCAUCCCUUCCUUCACCUUUCGUUACCACCUCUCUGCACUAGUUGUAACUAAGUUGAGAUAGGAUCUCUUUUCUUACAAGCAUUUCUAGCUAUUGCUUUCCCUUGGGAAAAUAUAAAUUACGAUACCUUGGAAUACUCCCGGGUGAAGUGCUACAGCGGUACCUUCUGUGCGCUUGCGGAAUUAUCCAAUAGUUAAUAGAGUUACCAUACCAGGCAUUUCUGGCGCCAUCACCGAUAUCCGGUGGUUGCGUUAAGAAGUGCCAACAAGCAUUUCUGGCGCCGUUGCCGGGGAAAGCAUAGCCUAGAAAUCUUAGUAAGAACGAAUCCGAAAAUAAAAUAUGAUCAACUUAGUAUCAAUUAGUUGUAGGGGGGGUUUACCCCUUGCCUUUGUUUCUCUAUAUUGUGAAGCAGGGCAUUGUAUGAGUGAGUUCCAAUUCAAGGCCACAUUAGAAAAUCCUGAGACAUCCCGACAGAGUCCUAGACACCGUCUAGUAACUUAUCGGAGAUCCAGCUCAUACUUGAAUUCACUCAAGGAAGGAGGCUUAGCACCGACACUCUACCAGUCAAUGGCUUCCUCAUCAAUCUCCGACUUCUCAUCUCCAUCAGUUGCCCAUGUUACCAUUGGACCGAGGGUGGAGGUCGAAGAUGUCGACUUUGAGAUUAAGCCAUCACUUAUCACUAUGGUGCAAGCAAGUACAUUUAGUGGGAAGCCACAUGAAGAUGCAAAUGCACAUCUCCAACACUUUUUGGAAGUGUGUAGCACUAUUGCCAUCAGAGGGGUAACGGCCGACGCCAUCCGCCUUCGCCUAUUCCCAUUCUCAUUGCUUGGGAAGGCAAAGCAAUGGUUUUACGCUCAACCCGAUGAUGUCAACACCUGGAGAAGAUGUGCCAAUGCAUUUCUCAAGAAAUUCUUCCCAAUGGGCAAGACAUCUGCUCUGAGGGAAAAGAUUUCAAGCUUCCAACAGAAGGCAGACGAGACUAUUCCCGAAGCAUGGGAACGUCUGCAGGAGUACAUUCAAGAGUGUCCACAUCAUGGAAUUAAAGAGUGGCUCCUGAUUCAAGGUUUCUACCAUGGGCUGACUCCAGUAGCUCGUAGCCACCUUGAUGCCGCCGCAAGAGGAGCGUUUACCUCCCUCAAUGUCACUCAAGCUAAAACUCUCAUUGAGAACAUAGUGACAAAUCAAACAUGGAGAGAAGAACGCCCUCAACUCAAGAAGAGAAGCACGAAAACCAUUGAAGAGGUAAAUGAAAUAUCUCACAAGAUAGAGUUCUUGUUGAAGAAGUUGGAUGAACGAGCCAAGGUAAAGAAAGAUCGAGAGGCCAUCCAACAAUACGCCACUGCACGUGCGAACCAACGGAGCAGGGUGCAAAAUGCAAGCCAUGAAGCUGUGCAAUCCUUCAACAAUGGACGACCAACUUCGCGCUUCCAGGGCCAAGGUAACUCUAGUAACUCUAACUGGCUUUCACUUAAAGAACUUGUCAUUAAUCAAGCUAAAAUCAAUGAAAGCAUGAACAAAAGAUUGUUAGCUAAUGACAAGACUCUUGAAUCAUUAACUGCUAAAAUGGAUUCCCUUGUUUCUUCUGUUAAGGACCAAUUAAACUUUAAUAAAAUUUUAGAGUCUCAAAUAGCACAAAUUGCUGCUACUGUUCCUUCUUCUGUAAAUUCUUGCAAUAUCUUUAAUGUGACCACGAGAGGGGGUAAGACCACUCGUGAUCCACCAUAUCCUGACAUGAAAAAAAAGACUACAAGAAAAGAUAAGGAAGUUGAGGAAGACAAGAAAGAAGCACCAUCUAAGCAGGAAAACACCAAGUUCUAUGGAAAGACAGCUCCGCACGAGUUCUACGACACCAACAUUCUGCUGCCAUUUCCAAGAACAAGGAAGCCAACCACCGAUGAACAAUUCGGGAAGUUUGUUGAGGUAAUUCGGCAAUUAUAUGUCAAUAUUCCACUACUUGAUGCAAUGCAGGUUCCAACCUAUGCCAAGUAUUUGAGAGACAUCCUCAACAACAAACGCCCGCUGCCUACAACUGAGGUGAUUAAGCUAACAGAAGAAUGCAGCGCGGCGAUACUAAACCAACUACCAGAAAAGAAGAAGGACCCUGGAUGUCCUACCAUCGACUGCUCCAUUGGGACACAUCACUUCGAGCAUGCACUGUGCGACUUGGGAGCAAGUGUCAGUGUCAUGCCAAAGGUAAUAUUUGAUAAACUAACCCAUGCUGUUUUGUCCCCUACAUCAAUACAUUUGCAGUUAGCGGAUCAGUCAAUUCGCCAUCCUGCGGGGGUAGCUGAGAAUAUCCCCGUAAAGAUACGCGGGUUCCUGGUCCCUGUGGAUUUCGUGGUACUCGACAUGGAGGUGGAUGAAAAGACUCCACUUAUCCUGGGAAGACCAUUUCUCAGCACUGCUAAUGCACAUAUUGACGUUGGAGCCGGAGAAAUUCAAUUUACAAUCAAUGGGGCCCAGGAGAAGUUCAACUUCAAACCAAAGGUAGUGCAAUGCUCACUAAUCUUGGCAGUGGAUGUGGCAACCGUCACAUUCAUAACUAGGCCAAAGAAAAAGACCAAUCCAACGCCAAGAGCAAAGAGCAAGAAAAUAUGGAAGAAGAAGGUAAUACAACCGAUGACACCUCCGAAGAAAAUUUCUGUAUCAACUCAAGGAGGAGGUCCUGUUCUAAGGACCUGAGGUAACAGCUCUUCCAUCAAGGUAAGCCCACUGACCUUUAACUUUAAGUUACUUAUUAAACUUCCUUCUUCUUUUCCAACCCUUCUAUCAACUUGAGUUAAGACAAGUAAAGUAAAAAUAAAAACUCACUGAGCAAGGUGGACACCAGGUGGGGCCCAAAGUGGGGUCGCCCGACCCCACUUUGGUGGCCCCCACCUAUCAUCUCGUGUCCUUUGCCACUUCCUGUCAUGACAUGCUAUGCUCCAUUCAAGAAAACACCAAAACAUUACCAUGUCAACUCAUGUAAUCCCACUUGAUCAACAAAUUGAACCGUGCAUGAGAAUUCUCUAACUCUUUCAUCUAUUUUUCUUGCAUGUGCUUGUUCUGUUACUCGUGUAGUGUGCCCAGCAUUACUCAAGAGUGAGAGGAGGGGUCGGCCGACCCCAUGGUUGGCCCCACUUCCUCCCCUCCUCUGGUGUAUGGCAGCACAAGUAAUGUAGGGAGAGUGAGUAUAGAAAUAAAGACUCAUAAACAUCGACACUCACCCUAGGAGCUAGAGUUUCUAGUUCUCAUCCCCUGCUUCCACUAAAACGUAAGUGAAAUUAGGAGACACUGCUAACUUAACAAAAACCAUCUUCUUCUUUCUAAAGUCACUUAAGCAACCCCUAGACAAAUCACUCUUGCUAAGUAUGGGAAAGAUACUUGCUUAAAGCCUUAAGUAAAUCAACAUUUUGAGAAGCUCAUCCCGUGAAGCAUCUCAUGAGCAAACAUCCACCCAUCUAGUCUUGUCUUGUUCCCUCCUUUCUCUUUCACCACAUUCCAAGAAGAGAUUCUUUGAGAAAACAUCCAAAAGAAAGGAGAGAGUGAGUGGAGAUGGGGAACCAGCCAUGGCACACAUUCAUCAUCAAUCUGGUGAACAGCUAGCGCAAAGAGGAGGUGGUGAUGGGGUCGCCCGACCCCCUCCCUGCAGCAUUCCUUAUUUCUUUCUUCCCAUCCAUCUUUCCUUGACACAAGGUGUUGGCCAUUUGUGGUUUCGUGGAAAAAGAGGGGUCGGCCGACCCUGACAAAGUGCCCUCUGCACUUGUCCUCUCUUCCAUCCACUCACUCAUUCACUCACAACCAUUUUCCUCUACUAGCAACUCAAGAAAAUCAUCAACACUCUUCCUUUCACUUUCCCUAUUGCUCAAGUGUUCACCCGUCGAGAAAUCAAGAGAGGUAAUCAGCCGGUAAGAAGAGUUAAAAUCUAAACUAACCUCUCUGGUGGAAGUGGUGUUCGUUAUUUUCUUGAUCUAGCAUGAAGAAUCCACUCAAGAACAUAGGGAAGAAAGUGCGUGGAGCGUUUAGCGGAAGCUCAUCAAGGCACUCCCAUGGCACCAUGAGUUCGGUAGAAGAGUACUCCUCUCAUCAGGGACUUCCCUCUGAGACUCAUGAGGAGCAAGAGCAUGAGGCCAUGCCACAGCAAACACCACUUAAUGAAGAAGCAGCACCUCUACGGAUGCAAGAUAUAGAGACCGGACUUUUGCUCACCGUAGAAGAAAUGGAGAAGCUUAACCAUCUACGCCACCGUGAAUUCAAGCAUACCAAGGUAAUUGACCCUAAAUUCCUCAAAGACACAGGUAUGUAUGAGGAAUUCUUUGAUGUCUUUGCUGCAAUAGGAUGGGGUGAAUUUUGGGACUUUUCGGAACACCUAGGUAGCAAGAUUCUCACUCUAGAAUUUUUGAGCACCGUAAGGGUAACCAAAACAACCAUUUACUUUCGCCUAAGAAACCACGAUUAUGAUUUCACAUGGGACCAUCUAGCUGCAUGUUUAGGCUUUAUGAAUUUUAAAACCAACGUAGAAGUUGCCACAAGGGGUUUUAAUAGACAAGAAUUUUGGCAUGAAAUAACUGGGGAGAAUCUAAUUGGAAAGACUUACCCACGUACUAGCCAUAUUUGCCAUCCCACACUACGGUUCAUGCACAAAUGGAUAGGCAUCACUCUAUUCCCUAGAGAUGACAUUCGGAUUGUGCGGGAAAUUGAUAAUAGAAUUCUAUAUGCCAUGGUGAAUAGAAUUCGUAUUGCACUGGUAAAAGCCAUGGUACAUCAUUGGAUCACUAUAGCACGGAAGAAUGACCCAAUUGAGUUCACCUCUAUAAUUACAAAAUUGUGUGAUUACAUUUUGAUCCUUGAUGACACCAUCCAGUACAUACCCACUCCUAGAACUGUGUUAGGAAAAUAUCAUUUCAUUCAAGCAAAAGUAAUUACGCGUGGCCCCAAUGACACAAUUGAAUUUAUAUUGCGUAAAUCAAAUGCAAGACUCAUUUUGCCACAACCAGAGUUAAAAUUAUACGGGGGCCACCCGUUAAUGCCUAAUGUUCCUGGAGUUGGAGGACGUAGAAGUUUUGCAGGGCCAUUCACACGUGGACAGUCACGAGCUGAACAGCAAGAUGAUUCAGAUAAUGAGGGCACUUCCAAUGCCAUGCACACCUCCGGGACGGGGAGGAGACGUAGUGCCCGGUUGUCUCUUUCUUCUUCGCAGGAGAUUGGAAACCGCAGUCACCGUCAUGACAUGGAGCUACUCAGAUCAGGUAUGGCUACAUUGCGUACUAACCAUGAAGCCAUUCACACUGCCACUGUGGAAACCCAACAGCAAAUCCAAAAUUUUGAGGAGAGCAGCAAUAGAAACUGGUGCCAAGCCUACACAUCAUAUCACCUGCCCGUACCACCAUACAUUCCUCACCACCACAUGCAUAUCCACCUCCUCCUGCACAAUAUCCUCCACAGCAAUAUCCUCCACCAUAUCCACCAUAUCCAUCAUAUCCACCCCAGUGAGGAAGGACAAGCUUGGGGGAGAUCCUCUCCCCCACCAAGGUAAGUAUUCUAUCCUAUUUAUUUCCAUGCAUUUUAUCAUUCUUGCUCUAAAAAAAAAUUUAGCAUUUCCCUUUAGCAUAUAUGCUUCAUGUAUGUCUAUAUCCCUCAUGGAAAUGAUGACUAGUUGCUUGUUAAUGUUUCUCUAGUACCUAGUAUACAACUUAGUAUUUCUCCAAGUAUGGAUCACUUAGCUCACUUAAACUGCCAUGAACUUGAAAACUUUGUGGGUUGCAAGUGCUAGAACUAAGUCUAAGUUGUUGUGGGACAUGAGAUAGUGAGACAAGAGCUGCUAUAAUAUUAUUCUAAGCAUGCAUGAUUAUCAGAGAUUUAUUCUUAAAAUGAUCAAACCCUUAAUUGUUCCUCAAUGGUGAUGAAUUCCUACCACAGCUAUAUCUACUUUACAUGAUUGCAACCUUUCCACAUAAGCUAUUUGCUUUGUGUUGAGUGUCGUCAAGUCUUGUUGACCCCUGUUAAGAGACUUUUCAUGCUCCUAAGAUCAAGAUCACGUACACACCACAUAUAUAUAUAUGCUGCUUCUACACUGGAAGUACGCAACCACAUGUAUUUCGCAUCCACUAAAUAGGUUGCUCCAUACUCUAAAUGUUAGAAUAUCUCUCUCUAAGCAUUAUUUGGUAAAUGAGACAUCAAAAGCCUAGGCAAAAUGAAAUAAAAAGAUGGACAUGUGCAAGUCCACAAAAAAAAAAUUGAGCACAUAAAGCUCGAAGAAAAAGAAAAUGCUAGCCAUGUCUCAAUAUACAAGUAGAGAGAGUGUAGCAAAUAAAGGAGCAACCUAGUCCACCAUAUAUCACACUUGCACAUCUUGAUCUGGGAGUAUGACACUUCUCUUCAAGGAUCCGAGCUUUGACUUCGCAACACAUGCAAAGUAAGUAUGCUAUCUCCUUUCAUCCCUACCUUAAGCUCCACAUAAGCCUUUUAGAAAUAGGAUGAAAUAGAGAAGGCAACUCUAUCAUAUGCCUUGGUGAGGAAUUAUACACCAUUUGAGUGACAUGAGAGAACCAUAUGAGGAACAUUUAAGUUUUCUUUUGAAAAUAUCACAAAACCUCUGAUAUGAAACUUGCUAAGAAUGAGAAAGUUAGUGCUCAAGUCAAACUGUUCUGUCUUUCAACCACCUAAGACAAAGGAAAAGCCAUAAGCCCCAUAAGGGACUAAGGUAAUAUGGGUACGUUUACAUAGCUAAAUUUUUCAUGCAAAGAGAAGAACUUUGUUGUACACAUGGUACUCUUGAAAUGUGAACAUAGUAACAAUACCUGAUCCACCGAGGCUAAGUUUGAUUGUUUGCUCGGGACGAGCAAAGGUUAAGCUUGGGGGAUCUUGUUGACGGUGGAUAUACCAUAGAAAUCCACAUACAAAACACCGUCAACAUGCCUCGGUUGCAAGGGGAAAUGACAUGACAUGAACAUAUUUUAUCCAUAACUAGUUCCACUUGUACUCUUAGCUUGUUUAUGCAGGAACAACAAAUUCAAGACAUUAUUUGACAAAGCCAACAUCAGAAUCAUCAAGAGGAGAUCGAGGGGACAACAGGUGACACCCUGGGCCCACAGGGAGGGGGUCGCCCGACCCCUCUUUGGUGGGACCCAGGUGUGCCACCUACUCCACCGACAUAAGGGACCAUUGUGGACACUGCUGGUGGGCCCAGGUGGUCAGGAGUGGGGUCGCCCGACCCCACAUGUAAGGCGGUUUCAGGGUCGGUGGCCUCCCACCGACCUUCCCCACAUGUCUCACGUGUUGGUUUGCCCCUGCCGUUGAUCAAAUGGCGGUUGUGAAGUCGGUUUGAUCCAAGGGUGGAGAGGCAUGAUCACACGGAUCGAUGACGUGGCGGUGGAGCAGCCCCUACUCCACCUCUCCCUAUAAAUAGAGGCUGAUUUCACCCUUCCAAGGCAUGAUGAAUUCAAGGUUCAAGUAUCCAAGCUAGAUACAAGUGAGUAGUAGUAGUAGUAGUCUAGUGUGGGAGUUAGAGUUGAGUCGAGCGAAGCUCGGGGUCUCCGGAGUCGUCUUCUGGAGAGUCUGGUAUAGCUCUUGUAUCUUUUCUCCUGUAAGACUUGUUUUCUUAAUAUAUUCUCUUUCUACUUUUCUAAGUAUUACUUUGUGCAAUAUUAUUCUUGCAAUAGUAUUGUAGUGUUCUAUCUUGUCCUUUAGUAGUUACAUAUUAGAUUGUGAUCCUGUAACAAGCUCGUGGCUGUUUCCCAUCGCCUUUAGCAAGGUGCUAUAGUUGUUUGAUCGCAGCUAGAGUAGUGAGAGUUAGCGUAAGCGCGGUGCUUAGGCUAGGUCUUGCCUUUGGGUGUCACUGGCUCGGACGGAAAGUAGGGGCGCACUCCCUAGGAGGUGACAGAUCGUGGGCGGCAUUAGGUUCUCCUCACGUACGAGCUAGUUCUUAAAAGAUAAGGCGUCCAUAAGCCCAAUAGUCGCUUUCGGUAAGGGGUUAGGUGAAAAACCUUUUAAGCGUCUUACCAGCUCGGCUAUCCCUGGCAGCCAUUAGUAAGGUAUCAAUCUAGUGUGUCUCUGCUAUUUGAUUAAGAUUAGUUCACGAGAGUAGAAUUAGAUAUCCUAGGAAGCUGUACUCACUCGUUGUCCUCCCACCUAGCUACUCUACUCUAGUUAUCUUGUAGUUAUCCUUUUUUAUUAUCUCUGGAUCAUCAUCAUCCCUUCCUUCACCUUUCGUUACCACUUCUCUGCACUAGUUGUAACUAAGUUGAGAUAGGAUCUCUUUUCUUACAAGCAUUUCUAGCUAUUGCUUUCCCUUGGGAAAAUAUAAAUUACGAUACCUUGGAAUACUCCCGGGUGAAGUGCUACAGCGGUACCUUCUGUGCGCUUGCGGAAUUAUCCAAUAGUUAAUAGAGUUACCACACCAGGCAUUUCUGGCGCCAUCACCGAUAUCCGGUGGUUGCGUUAAGAAGUGCCAACAGUUGCCGCUGCCACUCUAGCACAGGCCUUCAAGGUAGACUUUUGAUUUCCUUUGCUUAUACAGAUUCUAUCUUAUACUCACACAAUCUUUUCAGGAUACAUCGGCUGCCAUGGGAACCUCAUCGGUAACCUUUAUCUUUUAACAAGAUUUCAUCAACAUUCUUUCAUACUUUUACUCAUGAAAUCUUGGUUGUUGUAAUAGCAAACUGGCAAAUCGGUAAAGACCAGAAGUGCUCAAACAAGUGCCGAUGCCCCCAGCCUAGCCAAGUCAAGAGAAAAGGCCCCAAGAGCACCAAGUCACAGCCAAAGUGCUAGAGGAUAGCACCAUCUUCUCUUCCUCAGCCAGCGUCACCGAUCCAUGUAGAAUCAUCAGCUUCCUCACCAGAAAUCCUGACACAACAAGUACCGUCCUCUCCUCAACUAGCACCUCAGCCGUAAGAAGCACCAGCCGAUGUACCUAAGCAAACUGCCGAUCCAGCUGACUUGAUCAUAUCAUCGGUUGUUCCGCCAGAACAGACAAGCAUCGCACCUCCUCAAGGUAAAGUACUGACCAUAGAAUUAUCACCGUUGGAUUUAUCUUUACAAAUUAUAAUUCUUCUUGUAAUUUCUCAGUUGACAUUGCUCUAUCGGCAACUCCAGCCGAUCAACCUAUAGUACCGGCCGCGUCCCCUCGCCAAAGGCGCGAAAUUGCUCUGAAGCAAGUAAGUUUCUGAUCUUCACCCUUUAUUAUCAGCACCUGAUUAUCAAAUAACUCAUCUCUAUUCUCUUUUCAGGAACAGGAUUCUCCAGACAGCUUAUUCUCCUUUGCCAUCGACAUCUCCGACGACGAGGGUGAAGAAGCAAGUUCCUCUCCAGCAGUGGGGAUCUCAUCGGCAGAAAUAAAAGCUAAACUGGAAGAACUGUUGGUUCUGCUGCAUCAAGAUACCGCCCAACUGGUCGAUGAUUCUGACCAGCCAAAGCUUUGUUUAAGACCCUUUAAGGCCAGAUCCCAGCUGAUGCAGAAGAAGUCUUGUUUCAAGCUGCCCACUUAGAGAGCCGCCAGCUUCAAUACCAGAAAGCUACCCAGCGUCUUGCCGACAGAGCUGCCUACGCCCAACUUUCAGAGGAAGUAAUGCAAGUAAAGCGCAUUGCCGUUGAGAAGCAUAAGAGCAUCGGCAUUCUGCAGUCCUCAGGGGAUGAACUGAAGCAAAAGAUCUCCACCCUAUCGGCAAGAAGAGAAGCUUUGCUAGCUGAGUUCAAACAAGUGGAAGAGGCCCUGACCCAAGCUCAACAAGAAGAAAUCCAACUGCCUGAGAUGCUCAAGACACUUCAGCAAGAACAAAACACCUAGGCUCGUAAAGCACUGCAGAUGAAGAAGAAGUUGAAACCAAUAGAAGGUUCCGCCGAUGAAGACACCCGAGGGAUAGAAGAGGCCAACCAGAUCCGUCUGCGGGCCAUAUCUACUAUCCAAGCUCUGCUGAAUGUGUGAGCUCUUCAUCGGCAACUUGUUUCGUUCUACCCUUAGAAACUUUUGAUCGUUCUGGUCUAGCCGAUAGGACUGUUAUCGGCACUUUUAAAAACAUUACGAUCUUAGAUACAUUUCGUCCAGCCGAUAGGAGUGUUAUCGGCACUUAAAAUUCUAUGCAUCAACCCAGAUGCUUGGGUAAUAUUUCUUUAGAUAUUUUCCAUUUAACGCUCUAGAAAUUCAACUCCUUCGAGAGUUUCUAAAAUAUAAGCAUUACCAGAAGCAGACCGAGUUAUCCGAUAAGGACCUUCCCAAUUAGGAGACCUUUUUUCAAACUUUGAACUUUUAGUGCCAAUCGGUAAAAUUAAUUUCCAUACCAAAUCUCCAUCGGCAAACUCCUUAGCUUUUACUUUUUUAUCAUACCAUCUAGCAACUCUCCUUUUAUUUUCUUCUAUACUCAUUAAAGCUCUCAACCGAUGCUCUGCCAAAUCAUCCAACUCAUCUUUCAUCAAAGUAGCAUAGUCAUCGGCAGCCAACUGGUCUUGGAAAGAUACUCGCCUAGAUCCAGUCUUAAUUUCCCAUGGUAGCACCGCAUUGUGUCCAUAUACCAACUGAUAAGGUGAAACUUUGGUUGAUCCAUGACACGCCAUCCGAUAUGACCACAAAACCUCAUUUAGCAAUAUGUGCCAUCUUCUCGGAUUUUCCUCAAUUUUCCACUUAAUGAGCUUAAUGAUUCCUUUAUUAGAAGCCUCGGCCUAUCCAUUAGCUUGAGCAUAAUAAGGAGAAGAAUUCAACACUUUAAUCCCCAUACCGAUUGCAAACUCAUCAAACUCUCCUGAUGUGAACAUAGUACCCUGAUCGGUAGUAAUUGUUUGAGGAAUAACAAAUCGGUAAACAAUAUGCUCCUUCACAAAGUCAAUCAUGUUAGCCGAUGUCACUUUCUUUAAAGGAAUAGCUUCAACCCAUUUAGUAAAAUAAUCAGUGGCAACUAAGAUGAAUUUAUGCCCCUUGCUUGAUGGCGAAUAAAUCUAGCCGAUGAUAUCAAUAGCCCAUCCUCGAAACGGCCAAGGUUAAUAAUAGGAUUCAUGGCCGAUGCAGGUGCCCUUUGAAUAUUGCCAAACUUCUGACAUCCCUGGCAUCCCUUGAAGUAUUUAAAACAAUCUUCAAGAAUAUUCUGCCAAUAGUAUCCGUUUCUUCGAAUCAUCCAUUUCAUCUUGAAAGCCGAUUGAUGUGUUCCACAUACUCCUUCAUGGAUUUCUCCCAUUAGGCUCCAAGCCUCAUCAUCACCCAAGCAUUUGAGUAAAACUCCAUCUAACGUUCGAUAAUAUAAUUCUUCUCCAAGGAGUACAUACUUGGUAGCUUGAAACCUGACAUACCUCUCAACCUUUUUAGAUGAAUCUUUUAAAUAAUCAAUAAUUUCUUUUCUCCAAUCAUCGGCACUGACUGCCGAUAACAUAUUCAAGAUGGGUUGAUAUCCUGAGGCAUGUUGAGCCAACCGAUUAGCCUCUUCAUUAUGUAAUCGAGGAACAUGCUCCAAUCGGAAAUCCUUGAAUUCCCUCAAUAGUUGUAUGCUCUUUUCAUAAUAAGUUAUCCAAACUUCACUUUGGCAUUCAUAAAUUCUAGCCAAUUGAUUUAUAACAAGCAUAGAAUCAUCGAAGAUCUCAACAGCAUCGGCAUGAACCUCUUUUAACAAUUCCAACCCCUUGAUUAGAGCUUGGUACUCGGCCUGAUUAUUUGUCGACAUGGCAACAAUCGGCAAAGAAAACUCAUACUUCUUUCCUCGAGGAGAAAUUAGUACUAUGCCGAUUCCUGCUCCCCGGUCACACGUCGAUCCAUCAAAGAAGAGUGUCCAAGGAACAAUUUCCAAGGCAUUCACUACACCAGAAUGUUGAGUUACAAAAUCAGCCAUAAUUUGCCCUUUAACUGCUUUAGCCAAUUCAUAACAUAGAUCAAACUCUGAUAAUGCCAAAAUCCAUUUGCCCAUUCUACCACUCAUAAUCGGCAUUGAUAACAUGUACUGGACUACAUCAUCUUUGCAUAUAACAGUGCAUUCGGCUGAUAACAAAUAGUGUCUCAAUUUGAUACAUGAAAAGUAUAGGCAUAAGCAUAGUUUUUCAAUUGCCAAAUACAUUGUCUCAGCAUCCACCAGUCUUCUACUUAGAUAAUAAAUCACACGCUCCUUCCCUUCAAAUUCUUCAAUUAGAGCCGAAACGAUAACCAUCCCAUCGGUAGACAAAUAUAAUCUGAAAGGCUUUUCUUGUUGAGAUGAAAUUAGAACUAGAGGAUUUGUCAAAUAAUUCUUGAUUUCAUCCAACGCUAACUAUUGCUCCUUCCCCCAUAUAAAUUCUUGAUCAGCUUUUAACUUGAGUAAAGGACUAAAAGCACGAAUCUUACCAGAUAAGUUAGAUAUAAAUCGCCUGAUAAAAUUUAUCUUGCCGAUCAGAGAUUGGAGUUCAGUCUUGUUGGUGGGAGCAACUAUUCUGUUGAUAGAAUCAGUAGAUCUCCUACUAAUUUCAAUUCCUCUCUGAUGCACUAUGAAACCAAGAAAUUGUCCUGCCGAUACACCAAAUACACAUUUAUUAGGAUUCAUUUUUAAACCAUGCUUCCUUGUACACUCCAGCACUUUUCGUAGAUCGGCAAGAUGCUUUGUGAAAUCCCCAGACUUAACCACCACAUCAUCAAUAUAGAUCUCAACUAUCUUGCUGAUGAAUUCGUGGAAAAUAAAAUUCAUAGCCCUCUGAUAAGUAGCACCAGCCAUGCAGUCUUGGGAAUAUCUUCUUUCAACCAGACAUCUAAAUGUAGUCUUGGGAAUAUCUUCUUUCAGCCAUGCAUUCAAACAAUCUGACAUGAUCCGAACAUCUAAAUGCAGUCAUGGGAAUAUCUUCUUUUAGCCAUGCAUAUCUGAUUGUAACCUACAUUACCAUCCAUAAAGCUAAUAAUCCGAUGCCCGGCCGCAGCAUCAACCAACAGAUCGACAACUGGCAUCGGAUAACCAUCCAUUGGCGUGGCUUUAUUGAGAUUCCUAAAGUCAAUGUAGACACGAAGUUUUCCAUUCUUCUUGUAGACUGGAACAACAUUGAAAAUCCAUUCGGCAUAUCGACAUCGCUGAAUAAAUUUAGCUUCAAUAAGUUUAGUUAUUUCAGCCUUAAUAUCAGGAAGGAUAUUAGGAUUGCAUCGGCGUGCUGGCUGCUGAUGUGGCCGAAACCCAGACUUGAGAGGCAACCGAUAUUCAACAAUAGAUCGGUCUAAACCAGGCAUCUCGGUAUAAUCUCAAGCAAAGCAACCUUUAUAUUCUUUUAACAAAUCGGUCAACUGUUGCUUACACUCAGAAUCUAACUUAGCACUAAUAAAAGUAGGUCUUGGCCUAUCACCAUUACCUAUAUCUAUUUCUACUAAAUCAUCGGCCGAUGUAAACCCCUGGCCUAACUUUCCAUCAUUGGCGAACCUAUCCAUUAAAACUCCUCGUCAGAACCGACUGCUUGGAUCGGUGGAAUUUCAUAAUCGGCGACUUUGAGAAAAUCCUUCUCCUAAAUCUCUCCUGAAAUGCAUCUGGUCCUUUCAUAAGUAUCUGCUUCUGCUGAUGCAAUGACAUAUGAGGAAUCCCCUGGGACAAUUUCAAUCUUAUCACCUACCCAUUGAACCAAGCAUUGGUGCAUUGUAGAUGGGAUGCAACAAUUGGCAUGAAUCCAAUCUCUCCCCAACAGCAAGUUAUAAGCACCCUUUCCACUGAUGACAAAGAAAGUUGUCGGCAAGGUUUUGCUACCGAUGGUUAACUCAACACAUAUGGCUCCCUUGACUGGAGACACAUUUCCUUCAAAAUCCUUUAACAUCAUAUCGGUCUUGGUCAAAUCCUGAUCUCCUUUGCCAAGCUUCCGAUAGACUGCAUACGGCAUGAUAUUGAUAGCAGCCCCACCAUCAAUAAGUAUCUUGGUCAUUGACUGUCCAUCAACCCUGCCUUUGACGAACAAAGCUUUAAGAUGUUGUCUCUCAUUAUCGGCGGGCUUUUCAAAGGUAGCCGUCAUCGGAUCCAGGGCCAACUGAGCUAUCUGAUCGGGAAAAUCUACCUCCUCAUCAUCACUGAGGGGCGCAAGGAAUUCCAUCGGCAACAUAAACACCAUAUUAACGUCUGCCGAUGGACCUUUUCCGUUUGGAUCUGACUGUCGCCAAUCUCUAGACUUAGCAGAAUUCUCUCCCCUACUCAGUUCUUCUUGUCGCUCUCGUCACAACCUCCUCUUCUAUGUCCUUGUCAACCCUUCUGGACACCAUGGUGGAAGUUGUGGUUGCCUCACCGAUUGACGAUGAUUUUCCCCUGAUUCCACCCGAUAAGUAUUAGCAUUUCUACAAAAUAUGAACUCAUCGGGAACUCGUGCAUCCGCCAUCUCCUCAAGCUCCUCGUGGUUUCUUGGAAAAUAGCCAACAUGUUCACCAAGCCUAUCGUGCACACUAAGCCUGCCCCCCAGCCGAUCAUGAACUGAUGUCCUUCCUCUAAUCGGCCCACCAAACCGCCGAUCAUUGCUCCGAUACUGCCGAUUUGGUCUAUCAUACCAAUUAUAAUCGUUACACUCGGGGCAGUCUCUAAUAGUUGGUAACUUGAUGUUUUGCUCCCAACACUGGAUGAAGAACGGGCAAUUCCAAUGAUCUUUAUGCCGAUUCCACUCUUGUCGGUGUCUUUCUUCUUCCCGGUGACGAUCCUCCUGUUGGCGACGAUACCGAUCUUCAUGCUGCUGCCAGGUUUCCUGAUGCCUUCUAUGAGUGAUUAUAAUGCCAGAUUGAGGAGGCCUUCCUAAGCUGGUACCUUCCUGGAUCAAGCCCUUGCCUUUGGCGUCAUCGGCAGUAAUCUGGUGCUGAGGAUCUACCGAUGCACUUCUUUCAGCUGCUUAUGAUGUCAAGACUUUAGUCUUUCCCUUAGCAUCCAACAUAUUGGUGGGAAAAGGAUGUUGGUUGAUCUUCAUCGGCUUUUGAGCUUUGGAGCUAUCGAACUUAAUUCUCCCAGACUCUAUAGCCGAUUGCAGCUGUUGUCUGAAUACUUUGCAUUCAUUUGUACUAUGAGACGUUGCAUUAUGCCACUUGCAAUACUUGAUCUUCUUCAACUCUUCUGCCGAUGGAAUCACAUGGUUAGGCGAUAAUUUAAUCUGCCCCUCCUGAAGCAAAAGUCAAAUAUCCUAUCGGCUUUGGUGAUGUCGAAUGCAAACUUUUCUGGCACUUUAUGCCCAAAAGGACAAGACAUCAGCUUCUUAUUUUUUACCCAUUCUACCAAGCCGAUGACUGGUUCUUCACCAGAGUCUGAGCUUGUUGCCUCAUCGACAAACGACACCUUUUUGUUCCAUGCUCUCUUAGGUUCAAAAGCUUUGAUGUCUUGGUUAGAGAUCCUCUGCACUAGAUGACUCAGACUUUCAAAUUCUUGAGAAGCAUACUUGUCUUUAAUGUGUGGCAACAAUCCUUGGAAAGCCAAAUAGGUUAGCUGCCGAUCAUCCAGAACCAGACUAUAGCAUUUGUUCUUAAAAUCUCGCAACCUUUGCACAAAGCUUUCAAUCGAUUCAUCAUUGCGCUGCCUUAGCCUGACUAAAUCGGUAAUCUUCUUCUCAUUAACUCCAGAAAAUAAGUAUUUAUGGAAUUGCUUUUCUAGAUCAGCCCAGGUAAUCACUGAAUUUGGAGGUAAUGAAAUAAACUAAGUAAAAGCCGAUCCAGACAAAGAUGAUGAGAAUAAACGAACCCUUAACUCAUCUCUAUUAGCAGCCUCCCCACACUAGAUGAUGAACCUAUUAACAUGUUCCAUGGUUGACGUGUCAUCCUGUCCAGAAAACUUGGUGAAAUCCGGCACCUUGUACCGAUUUGGAAGUGGAAUUAAGUCAUAUGCAGGAGGAUACGGUGUCUGAUAAGAAUAAGUAUUGACUUUAGGUUUUAUCCCAAACUGAUCUCUCAUCACUUCAGCUAUCUUAUCGGCCCAAUAGGCAUCGGCAUCCUACCGAUGAGCGGGUUGUGGAUCUGGCACCUGCUGAUAAGCUUCCACGUGUCUCUGUGGUGCAUGUUGACGGUCCUUAAUGCUCACAUUUAAACGUCAACUAAUCAUGAAAAAUGAUCUAUAUGGAACUGACACCUAGACUUAGGGUUUUAUCUCUAAGUUCUUCAAUUCAUAAUUCCUGAGUUCUUUAAUUACUUUUAUUUACAUUCAAGUUAUUUAUUGGAUUCCCGCUUGCAUCAAGUGCUCUAGUCUUUGAAACGCUAGAGUAGUAAUUAAUAGACUAGACGUGGUGUUUAGUCUUGCAAUUACCUAGAAUCGCACCCAAUCCUGCGGAUUGUUGUGGUAACCCUAGGGUAGUGACAGCCCUAACGGUCGACGUAUUCCACCUCGUUCGGAUCGGUGUUUGUAGGACCGUAGUCAGAGCUUCCUAGCCCCUUCUCAUCUCUUUCUAUAGUUAGUGUUCUGAUGUCCCAAAAUAAAUAAUCUUUGAAGUAAUUCUUGAUUCUUAGAUCAACUAGAGAACUCUCAGGAAACUUCCUCUCUUCCCACCAAAAAUAAUUAUAUAGUUAUCCUUGGUCGAUCUUGAAUCUUAAUUAGUACACUCACGUUCCCUGUGGAAAAUCGAUACUCUGGAAUAAUUCCGGGUGAAAGCUACAUCGGUAUCCGUGCGCUUGCGGAUUUUUCUAUUUGCGUUUAAAAUACCCAACAAGCUUUCUGGCGCCGUUGCCGGGGAACGGUAGCUGUGCUAGUUUCAAACCAAGUCGUCCGUGUAUCCUUUUUCUUUUCCUUUUUUUACCACACUCACCUUACCAUUUUCAUCAUACCACAUGGAUUUCACUCCAAACAUUAAUGAGCAUGGAAUUUAUUUCAUAGCCACUUCGUCUACUGCAUGCUCAUAUGCAACAUCUUCCCAAUCUAUUGGUCUCUCCAACAUCACCACAUUCGAGAUCUCCAACCCCCUCUUCCUUUCUAUUUAAUAAAAACUUUAAAAGGGCGGUUGUCGAUGCAUAUGUUUAUAAUAAAUACUGCAGAUCUUGUUGAGUUGAUAUAGGUCAGCGUUGGAGGGGAAACCACUUCGCCGACAUAAAUUGAUGGUUUCCCAAGGACAAGCUUAGUGUCCUAAAAUAAGCACUGAUCAGAUCGUAACAUGAGCUUUGAAUUAUUUGCAACAUUACCUUGUGUAUUGAGCAUAUAAGGAUAAUUGUAAAAAAAUUCCUUCGGGUAUUCUUGUCACUAACCUUUCCAGGAUUGGAGCAAGAAGAUCGGAUGAAUGACAAGCACAAGGUAUGCCCAACCAAUCAUCAUACAACAUUGAAUUAAAUUCAUCCAAACUUGAAUUUUGCAAAAUUCAAGCUUGGGAGGGUACUUUACAUAAAAACAUCCUUUGCCAUGUUGCUAUGUUGGUUAUCCCUACCUUUGAGACAUGCUCAAUUUGUUAAAUACUAAUCACACUACUUCAUCUCCACUUAAGUAGAUCUCUAUAAAUGCUCUCAUGCUACCUUUAUUUGCUUUAGUAUAUGUCUAGGUUUGGAGUAGUUUCAUUUAUCUCUUAAUUAAGCAUGGUACUUAGUUUAGGAAUGAUUAUCUUACUUCUAAGGGAUUUGAAAUUAAGCAUGGUGCUUAGGUUAAAAUGCCCUCCUAAAUCAAAUUAGACAUGGUGUCUAGGUUGAUUUUUGAGCCGAUAGUAUGCUAUAGUAGAUAUGGGAUAUUUUGUUGGACUAACCCCUGCAGGAAAACUUUCAAUAUCGACCUGGGAAGUCCUGAGAUAAACUCAUAUUGGAGACAAAGAGAGAGACACAUGAAGGUUAACAAUUUACACAAGGAAGGCAUAACUCACAAGAGAUGAUCCAUAGAGGGUGCCACAAACACGAUGCACAACUGCUAAGAAAGGAAAGCUUCCACAGGGUGAUACUGUACCAUCACUCUUCAAGUAAGGUAACAUCUUAAGGUACUUGACUAUCACUUUUAUAAGCUUCGCGUUCACAUGAAUAAAAGAGACAAACAUGUAUGAUUUACAACUCUAGAUUAACCAACCCAAUCGAUUCAAUAUGUUUAGUCCUUCCACCUUUGUGAUCCCACAUUCCUAAUCAUAUGAACUAAAAUGUUGCACACGCAAUCUUUGGAAGAUAUAUAUAUAUAUAAUAAGUAUAGAUAGAUUAUCUUUCCAUUAGGUUGAGUGAUCUGAUCUGACAAAUGUUUUAAAUGCUACACUCAUGAUCUUAUUAUCCAUCAACUUUGUCUUGCUCACUAUGCUUAAGGAUAGAGAAGAACAAAUACACUUUUGGUUCUGUUGGUAUUUUCCACCAACAGGGCCCAUGCACUUGAUCUUUGCCUUGUCUCUAUGAGCAGGUACACUUCGAGCAAAAUAUGGAGGAGUUUUACAACUCCCAGACUCCACCAAGUAAAGAACCUGGAUCUACUGCACACUCAGCACAAAUACACUGGAGAUACUGGACACUCAGGCAAUCACUGCCCUGAGAUGCUUGAGGACGUAAACUACAUCAACAACAACUACUACUACAACCGUCCUCAACAAAAUCAAGGUUGGAAUCAACAGAGGCCUAUCUACUCAGGUAAUUAUCAAGGUAAUAAUUCUAACAAUAAUAAUAAUUUUCUACCUCAGAGAGAUUUAGUGUAUAAUCAAGGAAAGCUAAUGGAUAACCUAUCUAAGAAAUUGACAUCUAAUGAUAAAAUGUUAGAAAAUAUAAAUAAUAGAAUGGAUAAUUUCUCUACUGCCAUCAAGAAUCAAAUUAGCUUUAAUAAAAUGAUUGAAUCUCAGUUAAAUCAAAUAGCUGCUGCUGUUCCUGCUACUAACCCCGGUAUACCAUCACAACCGGAAGGAUUAGAAUCUGCAAAUCUUGUAGACAUGUUUGAUGCAGGUAACUACUGAGUAACCCUAUUGUGGAAGUAAUUACUAACCUUCUGCCGAUCAAGAGAGGCGAUCCAGGACGCCCCGUCAUCCCGAUCUCCAUCGGCAUGGUGGACUUCCCAGAAGCACUCUGCGACUUUGGCUCCAGCGUCAACAUUAUGCCCAGGCUUGCAGAUCGGACACUAAGUUUCCCAAAGGGAAUAUUGAAGAACCUCUAUGUCCGAAUUGGUACCUUGUACGCUCCAGCAGACUUCAUGGUGAUAGAGACUGGUACUGAUGAGAGGGCACCCAUCGUCCUAGGGAGGCCAUUCCUGAACACCUCGGGAGCUGUCAUCUACGCUAGUGCUGCCAAGAUCAGUUUCUACAUCAAGGGGAGGAAGGAGACGUUUUCCUUCAAGAAUGAGACUACACAAAUUUCAGAGCAAUCUCGACAUGAACCAAGAAAGAGGACCAACAGGAGAAACAGGAACAAGCAAAUGUGGACCGAGUCAGCUAAGAUGGUCACUGCAGUUCAAGGAGGUCAAGAUCGUCGACUUAAGUCACCGUUCCUGACCAAAAAAGAACGACCCAGGUAUGCCAAGCAUCUAGUGCUCCAUUAAUGGAUACAACUUCUAGAAGACGCUUUGCGAUACCGGGUCAGGCGUCAACAUAAUAGCCGCAGUCACCUAUCAGCUCCUGUUCGGAACCAUGCCCCUAAAACCGUCAUACAUUCAGCUCUAGAUGGCAGAUCAGACAUUCCAAAAGGUUGAAGGUAUAGUAACUGAUGUCUCUGUCAAAAUAGACGAUCAUUUUGUCCAUACAGAUUUUCAGGUUAUUGACAUGGGAGAAGACGAGUACGAUCCACCCAUCAUCCUUGGGAGACCGUUCCUCAGCACCGUUAAAGCAAUCAUCUACAUUGGAACUAGAGAAGUCCACAUGCACUUCCCCUCUGAGAAGGUAUGUCGAUAUUUUACUAACCCUAACUAUAUAGUUGAAGACUCUAAGCGGGUCAAGACAAGAAGAAGACGACGCAACCGCAACCAGAGGAGGCAAAUCAUCAAGGACAGAUGGGCAGACUACGAAGGAGAAGUGGUAAGGUCUGAAGACAUACAGCUUGAACAGAACUGUCCUAAGGAGACUGUAGCACCGAGUCAGGUGUGGAGAGAAGAUAGUUAUACACGAAGAGCAGGCGCCGCCGGAACCACCGACUACGCCAUCCAGCGAAUCCCAGGACGACUGAGAAAACGGAGAGUGCCGUUUGGAGGACUUAAAAACACCGAAUGCCUUGCCAAGAGGUAAACUUCGUAGUUAUCCUUUUCCUUUCAAUUAUUUAAAAUAGUUUGCUUAGUUAAUCAGGUUCAUAUCAUCUUGAAAAGAAAAUAAAAAUGUUAAAAAUAGUAAGCCCCAUGUGAGUAUGCUCAUGACAUAAAACCCAUAAGUACAUUCACUGUGGUGGCGUAAAAAUAAAAUAAAUAUAUUCUUGUCCUAUAAAAAUAAAAAUAUAAAAAUAAAUUUAUGAUCCUACCAAAGAGUGUAACAUUUAUUGAGGAGGCUCAACAUGAUAAAAGCUAGAUAUUUAUGCUAACACUUAACCAGUUCUACAAAGCUUUGUUGUCUAUUUGAGCUUCUCAGAAUUCAAGGAUCAAAGAAGACUAGCAGACGGAGGACAUCUUAAUCGCUGUCAGGGUGCUGCCGACAUUCAGAUACACCUCCGCCACCUACUAGCUACAUGAGAAGAAAUUACGUCAAAAUCCAGCUUGGGGGAGAGCACCCCCAUUUAUCCAGCUAAGUGUUUAUAUUCGCGUUUAUACUUUACUCAAACAAUAAAAAGAUGCAUAAUCAUAAAAACCCAAAUAAAGAUUUUAUGCUUAUAUAUAUCUUUGCUUAGUUUGCUAAAUAAAUAAAUAAAGUUUGCUAUGAACCCUCAUGAUAAGCUCUCACAUGGAAAUGUGGAAUAGUUGCUCUGCCAUGACUAGUUCUCAAAAUUGAAUUCUCUCUCAAGUUUAGGCAUGACUGUUAUUAAUUAAGCUUUGCUCUAAACCUGAACUUGUGGGAAGAGUACAUGAUCUAAAGUCUAAGUCGUCAACGGAUACGACAUGGGAAGGUUGAGCUGCUGUUUAUCUGUUCCUAGAGAUGCUAGAAUUCUAGAGAAUUUUAUCUAUGAAAAUCUUUAAAAUGUUGCAUAAUGAGUUCCUGUAUGAUGAGAGUUUAAAAUCCUACCACAGCCAUAUAUACAUGCUUAUUAGACUAUGAACCAUACAUUUACUUUUUACUGCUUCUGAGCAUUGAGUGUGGUCAAGCUAUGUAGACCCUUAGGAGCUUGUCAUGCGGUUAAAAUCAAGAUUCACUUAAACGUUCACUCAUACAUGCUGCUUCUACUCCGGAAAUACGCAUCCACAUACAUCCACUCAUUUCCAUAUCCAGAUUCACCUAAAAUUAUUCUACUCCUAUCCCUGUUAUUCCCCGUGAAAUAAAUGCUCGAGAUAUUUUGGUUACUGCCACUUGCUACAUUAUUCAGGAGGGUGAGUGCUCUGAAAAAAAGUGAAUACGAGGAAAUAAAAAGGGGCAAGUGCCCGAAACCUCAAAAAAAGAGAAAAAGAAAGAAAAAGUGAGACAAGAGGUAAAAAUGGACAAGUGUCCGACAGUAGAAUUAGGGGUACACGAUACCCAUCUGAGAGAAAAGAAAAAGAAAAUAUAGAGCAUCUCAUUCCCCUCAAAAAGCUUCAAAGUGCAAGAAAGGUAUGUAUCCCCUCAAAAGAGCAAAAGUAGAAUUAGACUUUCACCAUUAUCACCAUCAUCACCAUACAACAUUCAUUCGCCACACAUGCACAUCUUGAUUUGACUUAUUGACUUGUUCCUCUGGAUCCAUGGUUUGACUAUGCAAUAAAUGUCUUGUAAGUAUGUAUUAGCUAUCUCCCACCUAUGAGCUCCAGAUAUCAAAACCUUAUUAGAGUAAGGCGAGAGAGAAGGCAAUGCCACUAUGCCUCAUACUAAAAAUACCACAUACUUUGAGAGAAGGCAUACACCAUUACUGCCUUGGUAAGGAUCCAGAAAUACCACAAAAAAGAGACUAGAGAGAGUCAUACAAGGAAUCUCUGAGUUUUAUUUGAAAAUCUACAAAAACUCCAGAGCUAUAGUUAAUCGAAAAACAAGAGACAUGACGCUUGACUAGACCGUUCUAUCUUUUAACUGCUCAAGACACAAGUGACGGUUGCAAGCCCCAUGGUGGAAGGAAAAAUGAGUAAGUUUAAAUCUUAACAGUUUACCCUAACCUAGAGAUGAGAUCUUGUUUGAACGCAUGUGUACCUUUAAGGCAUGAAACCACUGCAGAAACUCUUGAGUUCAUCUUUGCUCAGGGAUGAGCAAAGGUUAAGCUCUGUGGUGCAUGUUGACGGUCCUUAAUGCUCACAUUUAAACGUCAACUAAUCAUGGAAAAGGACCUAUAUGCAACUGACACCUAGACUUAGGGUUUUAUCUGACAGAAUUCCACGAGUUUUGAUGUUUGUCUAUUUCUACAGGGGGUUAUCAGGAAAUAUGGAGGAAAGGCCCACACGUCGGGUUUACAUAGAGAUAUUAACGUGUGCGCUAAUUUUCUAUCAUAUAGAAGACUCUAGAAGCCACGG
rnacentral:lncRNA from 1 species